rnacentral:lncRNA from 1 species
GAUUAUGCUGGAGCAUAAUUUCCCCACCUUAGGUGCCCAGCUCCACUUACCCAGGCAGAGUUCAAAGACGUAGGCAUAGUAGGACCAGAGCACGACGAGGACAAUAACGAGCACUGGCACCCAGGACAGCACUCGGCGGCAGCACCGAAGCCCCCCAGACAGAGCCAUCUUCCAGCCCCGCCGCAUCUUCGGCUCGAAGAUCGACCUAGCAGGCCUGCUGGCGCUGGGUAGGAACUGCUUGGGCGGCGGCUGGGAGGCGGGAAGGCGGGCUGUGCGGCGCUCCACUGCCUAGCCUGGCGGGAACCCUCUCGCCUAGCCAAUGCCACCUGUGGGUCUGCACUGCUGAGUGCGCCCAGCCUGGCACAAUAGGCGUGAGUCACGGCGGCGUGGAGGAACUGGUCCUGUUGGAGCGGAAGGUGAUCAGUCAGGCAGUCGAGGCUGGGCACGCUCAGAGGGAGCGCAGUCCCUCCCCUUUCCGCCUCUCCCCCUAUCCCCCACCCCUUUGCUUCAGAGCUUGAUGCAGAGCUAGACCUCUGCAAAACUGUAAAGCGGAAGAAAUUUGGGUCCGCCCAUCGGCUCCUGCUGCACUGCGUCCACCCUCUUCUCUCCAAUUUCAUUUCUCUAUGUCUCUGUCUAUCCUUGCCUUUCCCUUCCGGUUUUCCUCGCCCUCUCCCUGACUCCCCCCUUCCCCGCUCACGCACUCAUACGAGGACACAUACUGUGUGAAAGAUGCACUGUAGCAUCUCAUGACUUAAAGGUCAUCCAGCCCCAUCCUCCCACUGCUGCUUGAACAAUAUGCUUAACACGUAGUGCUGCAGUCCAUGCUGGGGUAAGUCCUUUGACAGGGCACUCCCUCUUUUUCCUCUCUCUUUCCCUUCCUGCAGAAUUAAUUUAGUAUAUUUUCAGAAUAAACACAGUGGUACAGAGAAACAAAUUAGGGAGAUAAUGAUUCUGUAAGGGGCCAGGGAAAACUACAAAGGCAGUGAUAUUUGAACUAAGCUUAAUUAAUAAGAAUUUUUAAGCAGAUGAAAGCAGGAGGACCUUUCAGACAGAGGAGACAGCUUUUAAAAAGGCAUGGAAUAAGAAAAAUCCAAAAGUGUUCCAGGAACAUAUCGUGUGGCAUGAACUAGCAUGUAAAAAGGAGAGGCUGGAAAAUUAAACUGGGAAUUUAGGCUGAGGCCUGGAUGUGAAGGUUCUUACAUGCCUUCCAGGGUGUGAGAACAUAGUCCUGUAAUGAAUAUUAUGAACAGCCUGAAAGGUUUUAGGGGCAAUGAAGUGACAUCAGAGAUGUGUUUUUGCAAAAGAACUGGCAGGAUUUGGGAGAGGAAGAUGUCCUGGAAGCAGAGAGGCCAAUUAGGAGGUAAUUUAAUUCAACAAAUGUUUUUGGAAUGGUUCCUUUCUAUUAGGUCAGCUUUGGUAUAAAAAGAGGCCUGUUGCCAAGAAGCUCAUGUUCUCAUCAGGGUGAUAGGUGUUUUGUUUUUUUUUAAUGCAAGUACAAUAAUAAAUAGAAGUAUGGGUAGCCUCUUGACAUUUAUGGAUUUGACACUCACUGUUUUAAUGAUUUCCAAAGGUCUGUUACAUGAAGACAUUGUAAUUUUGCUGUGAUCAAUGUUUGAUUCACAUUCUGCAUGACAGCUGUGUGGGAGCAAGGGUUUCUAUAAAGUUGCUCUCUGUUCUUGAUUUAUGGUUAUAUAUGCAAUAAACUUCCUAAAAUGAUAAGAUCUUUAUUGUUUCUUUUCAGAUUAAGUUAAAGGUUGAUGUUACUAAAGUAAUGAUGUAAUGAAAUGCAGUUUAUUUUAGUUACAGUAUUUAAUAGCUCAAUUAAUUAUUUCAUCCCUACAGUUCUGAUGUGGGUACUUAAAUUUUCCAAUUAGUCAUGAAUUUGGCAACUCUUAGGACAUAUGUUUUGGGAUUGUCAAGGGUAUUCUCAUUAAGCUAAGUAGCUUUUAGGAGGCAUUAAGAGUGAAAGGGACAGUCUGAACUGGGUUUUUGAAUAAUGACUAGGAGUUCAUCAAGGAGAUAAAAGGUGGGAGUAGGAGUUACAGGGGAGAAGACCCCCCCCCCAGCAAAAGGCAAAGCUAUAUAGAUCAUCAUAGCAUAUUUGGUGGUUGAAAAUAAUCUGGCCUUGCCUAAAUGUAUUAGAAUAGUCUAACCAAGAGACUGUAAGGGCCUGGGCCUAUGACAGGAGAUGAGGAGAGAAAGAAGAAGGGGACAGAUGUAACAGUGUUUGGGGGAAAGAAUCAUCAGAAUUUGUUGACCAGUUGGCAGUGAUGUAUGAGAUAAAUUAUAGCUAACUACCAGAAAUUCUAACCUCAAUGCCUGAAUGAGCAAUUUGCUAAUUAACACUCUAGAAGCUGUGGUGAGAAGAGCAGAUUUUGUAGGAGUAGGUGAUAACUUUCAUUAUUGGACAUGGUGAGUUUUGCCUGAACCUUCUGAAAUUAGCCUAGGCACCAAUCAAUUAGUCUGGGUUUAGGGUUUAUGACAGGGAUGGCUCAUAUGCAAAGUAGCACAGAAGGCUAAGAACUAGAGAGACAAACCAUGUACAACAAGGUUUGGCAAACUAUGCUUAUGGACCAAAUCUAGCCCACUGACUUUUUCCAAAUGAAGUUGUAUAGGAACACAUUCAUGUCCACUCAUUUACCUAUAAUCUAUGACUCUUUUGCACUGCAGUAGCAGAAUUAAAUAGUUGUGACACAGAUUAUUUGGCAUACAAAGCCUAAAUUUAAAAAUAAUUAAAGACUUUCCCCUUUUUGGGGCAAUUUUAGAUUAACAGCAAAACUGAAACAGUUAAGAGAUUUCCCAUAUAACUCCUAUCCAAAGGCAUGCAUAACCUCCUCUUCUAUCAAAAUCUUCCACCAGGGUGGUACAUUUGUUACAAUUUAUGAAUCUACAUUGACACAAAAUUAUCACCCAAAGUCCAGAGUUGAUAACAUUCACUCUUGGAUGGACAAAUGUAUAAUGACACAUAUCCACCAUUACAGUAUCAUAUAGAAUAUUUUCACUGCCUUCAAAAUCUCUGUGCUUCACCUAUUUAUCUCUUCCUUCUUCGAAUCCCUGGAAACUACUGAUUAUUUUACUUCUCUUAGUUGUGCCUUUUCCAGAAUGUCACAGAGUUGCAAUCAUAUAUUAUAUAGCCUUUCCAGAUUGGCUUCUUUUAUUUAGUAAUAUGAAUUUAAUAUUCCUUCAUGUCUUCUUAUGGCUUGAUAGCGCUCUUCAGUGCUGAAUAAUACAUUGCCUAGAUAUACCAGUUUAUUUAUCUGCUCACCUACUAAGGGAUAUCUUGAUUGCAUCCAAGUUUUGUUAUGAGUAAAGAUGCUAUAAACACUGAUGUUAAGGUUUUGUAUGGACAUAAAGUUUUCAGUUCAUUUCGAUAAAUACCAAAGAGUAGGAUGAUUGGGUCAUGUGGUAAGAGUAUGCUUAGUUUUAUAAGAUAUUGCCAACGUGUCUGCCAAACUGGCUAGAUCAUUUUGUAUUCCCACCAAUAAUAAAUGAGAGUUGCCAUGCUCCAUCCACUUCCUUGCCAGUAUUUGGCAUGGUCAGUGUUCUGAAUUUUGGCCAUUCUAUAAAUUCUGAAGUAAUAUAGCUUUGUUGUUUUAAUUUGCAAAUCCCUAAUGCUAUGUAAUGUAGAAUGUCUUUUCAUGUGUUUAUAUGCCAUCUGUAUGUAUUCUUUGGUGAGGUGUCUGUUCAGGUUUGACCCAUUUUUUAAACAGAAUGUUUAUUUUCCCACUGUUGAGUUUUAAAGUUGUUUGUUAACUUUGGACAACAGGCCUUUAUCAUACAUGUCUUAAAAUAUUUUCUCCCAGUCUGUGGCUUCUUUUUUCAUUAUCUUGAUUGUAUCUUUUGCAGAGCAGAAGAUUUUAAUUUUAACAAAAUAUAAAAUUUCUUUCAUAAGUUGUACCUUAGGUGUGGUAUUAAGUCAUCACCAAACCCAGAUUAUCUAGAUUUUUACCUAUGUUACCUUGUAGGAAUUUUAUAGUUUUGUGUUUUGCAUAUAGGUCUGUGAUCCAUUUUGAGUUAAUUUUUAUGAAGGGUAUAAGGUUUGUGUCUAGAAUAUUUUUUAUUCAUGUUGUUCAGUUGUUCAAGUGGCAUUUGUUUAAAAGACCCAUAAAAACUGGGUCAAAAACCUGAACAGACACCUCUCCAUUGUGUUAUGCUUAUUCCUUUUUCAAAGAUUCAUUGGCCAUAUGAAUUUCUAGGCUCUCUGUUAUGUUUUAUUGAUCUAUUUUUCUAUUCUCAACAAUCACAUUGUCUUGAUUACUGAGGUUUUAUAGUAAGACUUGAAGUUGAGUAGUAUCAGUCCUCUUAAUGUAGUUCUUCUUCUCUGAUAUUGUGUUAGCUAUUCUGAGUCUUUUGCCUUUCCAUAUGAACUUGAGAACUAAUUUGUUAUAUCCACCAAAUAACUUGUUAGGGUUUUUAUUGUGAUCCAUUGAUUCUGUAGAUCAAGUUGCAAGCCUGAUACCUUGACAAUGUUGAGUCUUUCUAUCCAUGAACAUGGGAAUAUCUCUCCUUUUAUUUAGUUCUUCAAGUUUUUUGUCAGAGCUUUGCACUAUUCUUCAUACAUAUCUCGUAUAUGUUCCAAUAGAUUUCUACUUAAGUAUUUCAUUUUGGGAGAUACUAACUUUAAAUGGUAUUAUGUUUUAAAUUUCAAAUUCUACUUAUUUAUUCAUUGCUGUUUUAUAGAAAAGUAAUUGACAUUUGUAUAUUAACCUUAUGUCCUUCAGUCUUGUAAUAAUUGCUUAUUCUAACUUUUCUUGUUGAUUCUUGUAGAAUUUCUGCAUAGACAACCAUGUCAUCUAUGAACAAGGACAGUUUUAUUACCUCCUUACCAAACAGUAUAAUUCUUUCCUUUACUUAUCUUAUUGAGUUACUUAGGACUUCCAAUAAAUGUUGAAAAGGAAUGGUGAGAAAAGAACGUCCUUGCCUUUUUCCUGAUCUUAGUGGGAAUGAUUCUAGAUUCUUUCAUUCAUAUAUAUAGUUUUAGUUGUAGUUGGGCACAAUACCUUUAUUAUUAUUAUUUUUUUUAUUUUUUUGUGGUGCUGAGGAUCGAACCCAAUGCCUGGCACGUGCUAGGCAAGCACUCUACUGCUGAGCCACAACCCCAGCCCAAACAUUCUAGUUUCUUACAUGAUGUUAGCUAUAGGGGUUUUGUUUUAUUUUUAGAUAUUCUUAGAAUGUUGAGAAGGUUCCCUUCUAUUCUUAGUUUCCUGAGGUUUUUUUCAUUAUUAAAUCUGAAUGGAUGUUGGAUAUUGUCAAAUGCUUUUUCUUUUCUAAAUUAAUUUCUAUUGGUGCAUCUAAUUAUACGUAAGAGUGGGAUUCAUUUUAACAUAUUUGUAUAUGCAUAUAACAUAAUUUUGUCAAUUUCAUUACCCAGUACCUCCUCUUUUCUUCCCCUCCUCCUUCCCCCUGGUUCCCUUCUUCUCUUCUUGUGGUCUCUGUUCUAUUUUCAUGAGACAACCCCCAUUUUUUUUUCUCUAGCUUUCAUAUAUGAGAGAAAACACUCAACUCUUUACUUUCUGAAUCUGGCCUAUUUCACUUUGCAUGAUAUUCUCCAAUUUCAUCCAUUUAUCAGAAAAUGCCAUAAUUUCAUUCUUCUUUAUGGAUGAGUAAAACUCCAUUUUAUAUAUGGCUGUUGUGAAUUAGGCUGCUGUAAAUGUGGAUAUGUGCCAAAUACUUUUUCUAUAUCUACUGAUUUCAUCAUGUGAUUUUUCUUCUUUAGCCUGUUGAUUUGUUGAAUUACUUUAAAUGGAUUUUUUUUGAGAGAGAGAGAGAGAGACAGAGAGACAGAGACAGAGAAUUUUUUAAUAUUUUUAUUUUUUUUUAGUUUUCGGUGGACACAACAUCUUUGUUUGUAUGUGGUGAUGAGGAUUGAACCCAGCACCGUGCGCAUGCCAGGCGAGCGCGCUACCGCUUGAGCCACAUCCCCAGCCCCUAAAUACUUUAAUUGACACUCAAAUGUUGUACCACAAUUGAAUACCUGGAAUAAAUUUUGUCUUGUUGAAGUAUAUAAUUGUUUUCAUGUAGGGUUCAAUUUGCUAAUAUUUUAUUGAGGAUUUCAUAUCUGUUUAUUAUAGAUAUUUACCUAUAGUUGUCUUUUUCUGCUUUUAAUUCUUUGCCUGAUUUUAGUGUUAGGGUGAUGGUGGCCUCAUAAAAUGAGCUAGGAAAAAUUUUCUCUGCUUCUGUUUUAUGAAAGAAAUUGGAGAGAAUUGACAUAAUUUAUUCCUUAAAUGUUUUGUAGAAUAUUGAUGUGGAAGGUUAUUGAUUCCGUUUGUUUUCAAUUUUUUCAAUUACUCUCUCCCUUCCUCCCCCCUCUCUCAUUACUGGGCAACUGAGCAUUGAACCCAGGGGUGCUCAACCUUUGAGAUAUAUCUCUAGCACUUUUUAUUUUAUUUCUGAAACAAGGUCUUACUAAAUUGCUGAAGCUGGCCUCACACUUGCUAUCCUCCUGAGUUAUUGAUUCAACUUAUUUAAUAGAUAUAGAUCUUCUCAGAUUGUCUGUUUCUUGUGAGAGUUCUGGCAUCUUUCAAGAAAUUGGUCUGUAUCAUCUAGGUCAUCAAAUUUGUGAGCAUAGAGCUAUUCAUAAUAUUCCUUUGUUGUCCUUUAAUUUUCAUGCGAUCUGUACUUACGUCCCUUCUUGCAUUUCUGAUAUUAGUAAUUUGUGUUCUUAAUUUCUUAGACUGGCUUUUGGUUUUGUUGACUUUUUCUGUUUAUUUCCUCUUUUUGUUGCCAUUGAUUUCUACUCUAAUUUUCUAUGUCUUUUCUUCUACUUACUUUGUAUUUAAUAUGCUCUACUUUUCCUAGGUUUCAAAUGUUGAAGGUUAGGUAAUUGCUUUUAGAUCUUUUUUUUCUUUUCUAAUACAUGCAUUCAGUGCUAUAAAUUUCCACGUAAGCACUGUCUUUAAUGAAUCUCACAAACUUUGAUGAGAUCUAUUUUCAUUUGGUUUAAAAUAUUUUAAUAUUUCUCUUGAAAUUUCAUAUUUGAUGUAUUUAAUCAAUUUUUUUUCUUUGCUUCUCUCUUUUUCUUCCAAGACAGAAGGUCUUACUAUGUUGCCCAUACUGGGCUUGGAACCCUGGGAUCAAGUGAACCUCGUAUCUCAGCCUUCUGAGUAGUUGUGCCUACAGGCAUGUUAUAUAUUCUGGAUGUCAUUUCCUUAUUAGAUGUAUGGUUUCCAAAUAUUUUCUUCCAUCCUGUACAUUGUUUUUUUCAUUGUAUUGAUUGUUUCCUUUGCGAUGCAGAAGGUUUUCAGUGUGAUGUAGUCCCACUUGUUUUCCUUUUUAUUCCCUAUGUUUUUGGUGUCCUAUCCAAAAAUGAUUGCAAACAGCCUUUUCCUGAAAUUUCAUGUUUUCAUAUCAUAUCUUCAAUAUAUUUGAGUCAAUUUUUGUGAAUAGUUUAAGUGUCCUAUUUUAUUCUUUUGCAUGUAGACAUCCAGUUUUCCCAACAUACUAUAUUGAAUAGAUUAUCCUUUCCACAUUUUGUAGUCUUGACACCUUUUGGAAGAUCAGUUCACUAUGUAUGCAUGAAUUUAUCUCUGGGCUCUAUUUUGUUCCAUCAGUCUAUGUGUCUGAUUUUAUACCAGUAUACUACUGAUUUGUUCACUAUGCUUUUGUAAUGUAAUUUGAAAUCAGGAAGUAUGAAGCCUCAAGAUUGAUUGUUUCUUCAAAAUUGCUUUGGCUAUUUGAGUCUUGUGUUUCUAUAUUAAUGUCAAGUUUGUCAUUGGAAUUUUGAUAGGGAUUGUAGAUCUCCUAGGGUAGUAUGGACAUUUUGACAGUAUUGCUUCUUUCAAUUCAUAGACAUAGGAUAGCUUAUCUUUUGUGGGUUCUUUAAUUUCUUUCUGCAAUAUUUCAUAGUUUCCAUGUCCAAGUCUUUCACUUCCUUGGUUAGGUUAUGUUUAAGUAUUUUAUUCUUUUUGAUACUAUUGCAAAUCAGAUUAUUUUCUUAAUUUCUUUUUUAGAUAGUUUAUUGUAAGAGUGUGAACAUGCAACUGAUUUUUUGUGUUGAAUUUGUAUUCUGGAACUUUACUGUAUUCGUGUGUUGUUCAACAUUGUUUGGGGGUGCAUUAUUUAGGGGUUUUACAUAUAAAAUGUAAUCUGCAAACAGAUUUUUACUUCUUUCUUUCCAAUUUGGAUGUCUGUUAUAUUUUUUUCUUCCUGAAUAAUCUGGCUGAGACUUACAGUACUACAUUGAACAACGGUGAUGAGAGUGGACAUCCUUGUCUUAUUUCUGGUCUUAGAGGGAAAGUCUUUAGCUGUUGAGUAUGUUAGCUGUGGGCUUGUCAUGCAUGGCCUUUAUUAUGUUGAGACACAUCUCCUCUAUACCUAAUUUUUUGAGUGUUUUUAUUAUGAAUCAGUGCUUAAUUUUUUUAAGGCUUCAUUCUGUUAAUAUGAUGUGUCACAUUUAUUUAUUUGUAUAUAUAGAACUACUUUUGCAUCCCAGGGAUAAAUGCCACUUAAUUAUGUUGCAUUCCAAGUGAGAGCAGAGUUUUCACCUAAGACAUCUUGGGAUGCCUAAACCAGAAAACAAGCUGAGCUGAAAAAAAUAGAGAGAAGGAGGGGGAAUCUAGUAAAGGUGACCAAAUCAAAGAAGGCUUAGAGGCAGGAAUUUGAACCUGAGACUCAGAGGCAGGGAGAUUAAAAGAUGAGAGAAAGAAUAAAUGUAAAUGAGUUGGAAUUAAUGGCAGCUGCAUGGUGGGACUGCAAAUUGGUGCAGCCAAUAUGGAAAGCAGUAUGGAGAUUCCUUGGAAAUUUGGGAAUGGAACCACCAUUUGACCCAGCUAUCCCUCUCCUAGGUUUAUACCCAAAAGACUUAAAAACAGCAUACUACAGGGACACAGCCACAUCAAUGUUUAUGGCAGCACAAUUCACAAUAGCUAAACUGUGGAACCAACCUAGAUGCCCUUCAGUGAAUGAAUGGAUAAAAAAAAAUGUGGCAUAUAUACACAAUGGAAUAUUACUCAGCAAUAAAAGAGAAUAAAAUCAUGGCAUUUGCAGGUAAAUGGAUGGUGGUAGAGAAGAUAAUGCUAAGUGAAGUUAGCCAAUCCCCAAAAAACAAAUGCUGAAUGUUUUCUCUGAUGUAAGGAGGCUGACUCAUAGUGGGGUAGGGAGGGGGAGCAUGGAAAGAAUAGAUGAAUUCUAGAUAGGGCAGAGGGGUGGGAGGGAAAGGGGGUGGUUUGCGAUGAUGGUGGAAUAUGAUGGACAUCAAUGAAGACAUGAAUUGGUGUGAACAUACUUUAUAUACAACCAGAGAUAUGAAAAAUUGUGCUGUAUACAUGUAAUAAGAAUUGUAAUGCGUUCCGCUGUCAUGUAUUUUUUUUUAAAAAUCAAUUUAAAAAAUGGCAGCUGCAAUUGGAGUAGGUGGUUGCAGUAGUGAGGAAGAAAUACAAGAAAUAUGAGUGUGUUUAGAGAGAUGGUAAGGAAGGUCUGAGGUGAUCAUGAGAAUGCUUGUGAGUAUUUGUAGCUUGGUUUUAUGAGUCAACCCAUGUUUAAUACUUAGGAGGGUCAGUUACAUUAAAGGAACAAUGGCAGAACAGACAUUACCAUUUUCUGGGUUGGGGCAUACUGUUCUUAAUUGGAAGGGAAAUUCUGAUAUAUUCUGCGUGUUUUGUAGUGGCAGGAAAGCUCCCAUAACUGCUCUUCUUGCUAAUAUCUAUCCAAUUACACCAAGUAUUACAACUGAUUAGUAUCAGUGGGAGUCAGAUACUUGUUUCACCAUGUAUUCUGGUUCCCAUUAUGAAGCUUCUCAGGCAGGUGUGAGUCAUGGGUUGACAUUGGUAUGACCUAGCAAGGAGUAGUAGAAGGAAUAUUAAAACUGAGUGGGACACUGGGGUUAUAACUCAGUGGUAGAGUGCUUGCCUUGCACAUGUGAGGCACUGGGUUUGAUCCUCAGCACCACAUACAUAUAAAUAAAAUAAGAUACUGUGUCCAUCUUUUUAGAAAAUAUUUUUUAAUAUCUAUUUUUUAGUUGUAGUUAUACACAAUACCUUUGUUUUAUUUAUUUAUUUUUAUGUGGUGCUGAGGAUCAAACCCAGGGCCUCGUAUGCACUAGGCAAGUACUAUACCGCUGAGCCACAACCCCACCCAGCCCCCAAAAAUAUCUUUAAAGAAAACUGAGUGGGAAGCAAUUGGAACUUGAAAGGCUGCCGGGGUCUUCAAUGGCUACAGAAUAUAUUGGCAGGGUUAGAUAGUGGUGAUGUGUUUGAAAAAGAAAAGACAGCAUGUCACACUUUUAUAUCUCCCCUGGGGCUGUUCAGUAUUCUGUCUUGUAGAUCUUCUUAACUGGCUAGUAUGCUUCCUGGGUACUGUGUGACCUGUGAGGAUUGCAGUAUUAUCCUAUGGUAUGGGGAAAUUACAAAUGUGAAAGCCAUUAUUGUAAAUCAGCAUUUGGGUAAAUAUUAUAAUGAGUUGUUAUAAACAAAGACAAAUUAGAGUGGUAAAGUAGAACUAGACAUAUUAUUUGAAGAAGUAUUACAGUGCAGAUAUAUUUCCAGAACUUUGAUUAAAGCAUACCUCUUGUUUUACCUAUUGGUCCACAUAUAUAGUCAGAAUAUGGAGAGCUGUGAAUAUUGCUUUCCAGAGUAAGGCUUUUAAAUGAGGGUCUUGGUCAAUUUCAGGUAAUGAGUUUCAAGGAAAUGGAUACUUCUUUGAUAAACAUUAAGUGUCAGUUAGUAGUUGUGAAUUGGAGUUCAGAAAAAAGGGGAUACAUAUAUUAUCUUAAUGAGGGUUCUGCCACUUGUAAUAUGAUAUCAUGCCCUUAGGAAGGAUAAAGAUCCAGAGAAGUACUUUUUUGUGAAAUCCACUGAAAUGGAAUUUCAUGGAGAAUUUGGUGCUUAGGAUAGGGUAGAGUAAUACUUAGGGCUUUCAGUACCUGUCCUCAGACUGAAACCACAGUAUCUGACAUACAGUAGGUGCUCAAUAAAUUUUUGUGCAUGAUGAAUUUUUCACUUACUAGACAUGCUCAGAAUUUCAAAUAGGCUUUAGUAGCUAUUUAAGGUACUGUGGCAGAACCACAUACCUGAAGUUUAGGCUACUCCUUCCAGGACAUUGACUAUUCAUUGAACAUUGGGUUUAGCUUUGAGGGGCUAGAUGAAGAAGUGUCUAUGUCAGAGAUCCUCAAGAUUACUCCCAGGUUUGGUGAUUUGCGAGACUUCCAGAACCAUGUAUAUAAUGUUGUUUAUGGUUAAAAGUAAUUAUAAUGAUGCAGAAGGAUACAUAGCCAGAUCAUAAUGGAAAAAGACACGGAUGGAGUAACUCCCUGUACAGGCUUUGUACAUUCUCUUUUCCUUAUGAAGAGUUACAUAGAGUGCACUCUCCCCCAACAAGGAAAACGCAGCAACACAUGCGAAAUGUUUUCUACCAUGGCAGCCCAUUAGAGACUCAGUGCCCUGGGGUUUUAUUGGUGACUAAUUACAUAAGCACUCUCUGCCUAGCACGUACUGAAAUGCCAGACUCCCAGAAGGAAGGCAGGUGUUCAGUCUCACUUGCACAAAUAGUCUAGGCACAGUGUGCCACUCUAAUCAGUUAACUGUUGACUGGGAAUACUCCAAGAACCAAGUUCCCAGAUGCAAACAAAGGGCUAACCUUAUAAGCAGGACCUUCUAAGGAUAGCAAUUUCAGGCCUGUUGCCUUAACCAUCUGUCUGCUGUACUGUAGCUGAAAUCAAUGAUCAUAAUGUUCCCAGGCCAGAUAAUUUCUUAGGGUAGGAUUCUUCUGAUACCUCCUGAUAUUUGGGGCCUGUUUUAAAUCUAAGAUCACAGGAAAAAGAAAAGUUUUUAAAAAGGAAGUCUACCCCACUGGGUAUAGACUGAAUUUUUCUAACCUCUGAUGCUCUAGAUUGUCAUGAUUUUAUUAGACCUCCUUGAAAUUUUGGGUGCCUUCAGUGUAUCCAUGUCUUGAUGGUAGCCUCAAUCAUCAAUUUCCUUUUCUCACAUUGAAUAGUUACCUUUAGCUAUGACCAGUCUUUUUGUGAGAAUUACAGACAAAGGAGAAGUUUCCCAAGGUAAAUGGUUAGAUCUGGGUAAGCCAAUAUUAUGGGAGAAAUAGUUUCAGCUCCUGGAAUAUAUAACUGUUGUAUAUAAUAACUCUUCCCAUUUCUGAACAACUAAUUUAGUGGAAAGAUCAUUAGGAAAGGAUGACAAAGAUGCUGUCAGUAACAUCCAACAAUUCUAGAACUGCCAGACUCCUUUGGUUAUCUGGAGGGCUUCUCAGUAUAGAACUUCUGGUAUUUUCUCUGGAAUCAUAUGGAUGCCUUGGUUUAAUGAAUAUAGCCUUAGAAGUGUUCUUUCAGGCUAUUGAAAGUAAAAUCCUUAAAAUUGACCUAGAGGUGGUAGUGCUGUACUUAGCCUAAAAUAAAGGCAUCAUUCAUUUUUAACUCAGAUGCCAGAGCUUCCCUUUCCCUGGGAAUUUAGGUAAAUGUGACUUGACUCCUCAAUCUCACAGUCUUCACAAACCAGCAUCUUUUCCAUGAUUUCUUUGAAUGUUCAAUCCUAUAUUUUCACUUGUGCCUCUUUGCUAUUGAGAGAUGAAAGUAGGUAUUAUAAUUACAUAAAGCUAGGAGCAGAGAGAAUUGUGAGGAGAAAUGAGGAAUAACUGCUAAUGUGAAUGGAGUUUCUUUGGGGGAUGAUAAAAUAUUCUAAAAUUCAUUGUGGUGAUGGUUACACAACUUUGAAUUUUAAAGAAAUCAUCAAACUGUAUGCUUUAAAUGGGUUAAUUGUAUGGUAUGUGGAUUAUAUUUCAAGAAAGCUGUUAUAUUUAAAAAUAAGGAUGCGUGUCAUUUUAUUAGAUAUUGUGGAUUUACUGCCAGAAGAGUUGUAGCAGUUUGCCUUCCCACCAUCAAUGCAUAAGAGUGCCUAAUUCCUCAUAGCCUCACCAACAGAAUGUGUUGUCAUAUCUUUUUGCCAGUCUGAUACGUGAGAAAUGGUGUCUCAGUGCAGUUUUACUUUGCAUUUCCCAAAUUUUGAAUGAGUUUGAACAUGUUUUCAUGUUUGAGGAUAAUUUUUUUUAUCUUCUGCAAGUUAUCUGUUCAUCUCUUUUCCUCAUUUUUCCAUUGGGCUUUUUAUUUUAUUCAUUCAAUUCUUAAGAGUUCUUUGUAUAUAAUAUAUAUCAGCCCUUGUCUGUCAGCACCCAUACCCUUUUCUUUUUUUGGUACAGAGGAUUGAACUCAGGAGCACUCGACCACUGAGCCACAUCACAUCCCCAGCCCUAUUUUGUAUUUUAUUUAAAGACAGGGUCUCACUGAGUUGCUUAGGGCCUUGCUAAUUUGCUGAGGCUGGUUUUGAUCUUGCGAUCCUCCUGCCUCAGCUUCCUGAGCCACUGGGAUUACAGAUGUGCACCACCUCGCCUAGCAGCACCCACACUCCUAACCAUUACACUCUACUGCUUAUCUGCUCUGACACUUUACCCAUGAAGACACCACUUUUCCAACCUUUAUCACUGAAAAUGGCUCAAAUGCUUGUCAUACAAUUAUUUAAAUGUAGUGUAGGCUCUUAAGGUACAUGAUCUAGGACCACAUUUCACAGCAAUGUUCCCCUGGAGUUCUGCCAGUUUUGAGAGAAUGCAGGUAGGUAAAGCAGCUUGAUAACCUAUUUAGAGAUUGUUUAGGAAGUUUUCCUUUUUGAAACUCUAUUAUUUAUUUAUUUGUUUGUUUUUCUGCAGCCCCAGAUGAGAAAUCUGGCUGUCCCCAGUGCUAAUAAGUCAAGGUAGAAUCCUAUCUUUGGGGACAGCAAGACUUCUUGCUUUGGUAGUCACCUUUUGGGGAGGGCAGUAAAGGAGUUACACCCUUCUGUUUUCUGGACUAUAGAUCAGCUUAAGAAAAGAAGUUAUAAAGAUUUUUGUUUUGCUACAUUCUUAUCUGUGCCACUGUCAGGACCUUGUCCAGCAUCCUAAUUAUUCUCCCUUUUGGAGUGAGCCUACCUUAUCAUUAUUAUUUUUGGCUGCCCUUUGACCACCUUUGGUUGCCUUUCUCUUGACAGUUUGGAAGUUUCUUUAAAAAUGAAACAUGCAAUUACCAUAUGCAAUGGUUUGACCAACCCUCCAAAACUCAUGUUGAAAUUUAAUUGCUAUUCUAAGUGUUGAAAGAUGGGACCUUUAAGAAGUGAUUAGGCCAUGAGGCUCUGUCCUCAUGAAUGUAUUAAUGUCAUUUUCCCAGGAAUAGGUUAGGUAUUGCAGUUCCUGAAAAAAAGAGAUGAAUUUGGCUUGAUGUUUCUUUCUGUCUUGUGUGUGCUUGCUUACCCUCCCACCAUGUUAAGGCACAACAUGAAAGCCCUCAGCAGCUGCUGGUGCCAUGCUGGACUUCCCAGAAUACAGGACCAUGAGCCAAGUAAAUUUCUGUUCAUUUUAAAGAAUCCUAUCAUUCUAGCAGUAGAAAAUGUGCUGAGACUUUAUGACAUAGCAAUUGAAUUCUUGGGCAUUUACUCAAGAUCAAAAAAAUGCAUAUGAAUGUUCAUACUAGUUUAUUCAUAGUAGCUAAAAAGUAGUGAGAAUUCAGAUGCCCUUUAAUAGGUGAAUGGCUAAACAAACUAUGGUACAUUUAUACAUUUAUACCACAGAAUACUAUUUAGCAACACAUAGGAAUGGACUCUGGAUACAACAAAUUGGAUAAUUCUCAAAGGCAUUAUGCUAAGUGAAAAAAAAAGUCAGUUUCAAAAUGUUGGGGAGAGUACAUUCCAUUUAUAUGUCACUCUAGACAAGAGAAAAUUGAAGUGUCAAAGAACAGAUCAAUGGUUCCCAGAGGCUAAGGAUAGUGAUAGAGUGUAACUAAAAUGUAAUAUCAUAAAGAAGGUUUCUUUUUGGCCGAGGGGUGAUAUAACUGUCCUUUAUCAUGAUUAUGGUAGUGGGUAUAUGAAUCUGUGCUUGUGAUAAAUUCUUAGAAUGAUAUGCUAAAAACAUCAUUCUUGCUUUAUUUUAAUUUUAAAAACAAACAGAAGAAAUUCAAUAGAAAAAUAAUAACCAUGCUGCUAGUAAAGUAUAAACCUAAUUCAUUUUAAAAAUAAAGGAAUGGAGACAUAUUAGACUGGACCUUGAAUAAACAGAAGAGGAAUUAGGGAUUUAUUUAUCAAAUAGUGGGGAAGAAACAAAAGCUUGUAAAUUGGGUGGUAAAAAGUAUAUUUGUGUCUGAUUUGUACAAAAACCGCCCUUAAAAGAGUACAAUUAAUAAGGGAGUGAAAUUAAAAACAGGAGAUAUUCUAGAUGAGAGACAAUAAACAACUAAAAGUGGGUCAAGGAGAGUAAGAACAAAAAUGGUUGGAUAAGACCUAGAUUUGUUAGACAUUAUGACCAACUUUGCAGAAAUUAGCCACUGGUUUGAUUGGCAAAAGAAAAAUGCUUUGCUACUAAGUUCUUUAUUUGAAAGGUCACUUUCUUCCUGUGUUCUGGCUAAAAAGUCAUUUGCAUAAAAUUCCACAAUAUUAGGCCUUUGAGUAUAUUUAAUAAACAACACUCUAUCUUGUGUCAGAAUGGAAGUUCUGAAAUGCAGGCCCUCAGGCAGAAGUAGCCAUGUCAAAGUCCCAAACUUGUAACCACCUGAUAAUUCUGUGAAUGCUGGCUCUGUCCCCAGAUUUCCAUAGUAAUAAUAUUAACACUUACUGCUUACCAUUAUGCCAGACCCUGUUUUAAGUGCUUUGUGUAUACUUUUUUUUUUUUGUACCACGGAUUGAACUCAAGGGCACUUGACCACUGAGCCACAUCCCCAGCCCUGUUUUGUAUUUUAUUAGAGACAGGGUCUCACUGAGUUGCUUAGCACCUUGCUGUGUUGCUGAGGUUGGCUUUAAACUUGAGAUCCUCCUGCCUCUGCCUCCCAAGCCGCUGGGAUCACAGGCAUGAGCCACCGCUCCCAGCCUGUGUAUACUGUUUAUUUAAUCACAUCAAAAUUUCCAGAGAUAGUACUGUUAUCAUUCCAUUUUGAGAUGCAGAAACUAAGACAUAGACCCGCCUACAGUUCACACUGAAAGUUAAGAGACUGAGCUGAUAUUCAAAACUUAAGCAGCCUGACUCCAUGGCCGAGGCUCUUGAAUGUUACACUGGGCUACCUCAUAAGAGGCCAAAGAGCCUUGAAAGCAGGCAAGUAGAAAGAGACAACUCCUAGCAGUUUUCUUUACCUUGACCAUUUCCCUUUAAUCAUUUCUCCUUUUUGUGUUAUCUAUUGUUAUUGUUGCUUUUAUACCCUUUGCCUAAUAUUAAGUACUCUUGUUCUGUUAUCAGUUCCCUCAAUCACUUUGUAGGCAACCUCUUCAUAGUGGUCCUCAUGUCCCAUUGUGGGAAUCUUGGGUGACUCUUGGUGAGUCUUCCUCCUAGGUUAUCCUAAUAAAGAACUCUAUGGUUGUUUGUUUUAGAGUCAGAAACUGAGUGGGGCUGAUAGGUUUCUGGGAUAAACUAAGUAGGCCUUUCUUCUGAGUCACUUCAUGGGUAUGUGGAAUGAGGUAUUCUUAUCUUAACCCUAGGCAGAUUUCAGGAAUUCAAGAGGAAGGAGCAAGAUUUUCCGACUUGCACAGCUGACUACAGCCAGCAAGUGAAACCUAGCCCAUUAUCAGUUUUUAUAAAUAAAACUGUAUUUAGUCAUGCCUAUUCUAUGGCUGCUUUUUUUUUUUUAAGUACGAGAGAACUGAGUAGUUGCGAUAGAGAUCAUGGGACCCACAAAGUCUAAGAUAUCUGCUAUUUAACCCUUUACAAAACAAUUUUUGCCAACCCUUGUUGUAUGAGAUGAAAUAUCCUACAUGAUCAGAGGAUUCUAUACAGGGAAAUGCUAACAGAUUAAAUUUCUAUUUUAGAUGGAAACAUUUAAAAGCACUAAGAGGAAGAAUCUAUAUCUAAGGACCAGAAAGGACAUUAUCAAAAUAUGGUAGAAAGAGUACUUAGUGUAAAUAGAUAAAAGGGAUUAGCUUUUGAAGAUGCUGGUUGAGAGGUAAGUUCUGCAAGAUUUGGCUGGUGUGUGUGUACGCUAUAUGUUAGAGGAUCUCUUUUCUAAGCAAACAUGAAGACAGAGAGAGGAACAUAGUGCAAAAUAAAUGUAGAGGAAAAUACCCUUCUUGUUUCCUGAUUUUUUUUUAAAUGACCACUUUGUUUAUUGCAGAGUUCCAGAAAUUUUGUCUGAAGUUCGUCUUCCAAGGCCUGUAUUUGUUAGACAACAUUGCCCCUAGCGUCUGCAUGUCAGCAUCACACUCUAAUAGGCAGACUGAAGAACAUUACUUGACCAGGGCAGCAAUGGUAUAGACCAAUUGCAAAGAUCACAUUACUCUUUUUUUUUUCUUUGUCAAAAUUUACAUCGAUGACCAGAUAUGCUCUCAUCAGAAAUACACUGGUAAAGUCUGCUUAUUAAAAGAGGCUAGUAAGAUUGAAUCUGGUGCCUUUUGCUUUUCCUUGUAAAAAAAUUCAUUUAAAUAUAAAGUAUUAUUCUCUCUCAAGAAACUUCUUUUAGCUCUGCCAAAUCUGUAAGGCUAUGGACUAAGAAUAACACUUUAAUGAGUUUUGAGAUUCACUUGUCAUAGAUGGUCUUGUGCAGGAAUUACUGAAACAAACUGCCCUUCUUUGCCAUUUCCCAGGCCAGGAUUGCUGCUUUCCUUUUGAAGCCCUGUGAAGAUAUUAAAUCAGAAAGAAGAUGCAAAGCACCACCUCUAUCAUAUAAAAGCCUGGAUACCUUAGUCCAGAACUGCCCUUUCUCCUCCCUCCCACUCUCUUCUCUCUUAUUGUGAACUCAUGAAGGAUACCUCUGUAUCUUUCCAUAAAAACACUGGUAACUGCAAGAGAUGUGGGAAUGGCCAUGAUUCUCAAUCAUAGGCUUUUACUCCUAAUAACAAAUAUAUGCUGAGUGUUUUAAUUCAGGACACAGUACUCCAUUACCUCCAAAUUGAAAAUGUAAGUGGAUAAAGUGUAAUGGGGCCGAUCUAUUGUGACCUUUAUUUUACUCUCACUCUCCAGUUAUUUUGGCUUGGAACAAUUAGAGUAAAUAUUGAGUAGUUAUAAUAGUAUCAUUAUGUUUCUUGCAGAUUAAACAUGCUCAUGUACAGAUUUGAUAUCCUUGUUCCCCAAAAGGCUGCUGGCAUUGUUCCCUGCCUAGAAAUUUCCUAAAGAGGUCAUAAUUCUAGGACAUAGGUGAACAGCUAAUGAGAUUGCCCUCCCCACUUCCUUUUUCUGUUUUCAUUAUUUCCUUACCUUUCCCCCAUCUUUCCUGAAUCUGAGUUGUCUCAAUCUGUUAACAUCAUCACUGGUGGUACAAUUUCUUUUUACUUAGUUAAUUUUAUUUUAUAGUGAUGAGAACACAACAUGGGAUAUACUCUUUUAACAAAAAUUUAAGUGCAAAAUACAGUAUUAUUGACUGUAGGUACAAUGUUAUAUUCAUUGGCACAAUCAAGAACCACCAUGUAGUAGAAAAAAUUCUGGAACUAUAGUUAUGAAAGGCUCCUUCUAUAACACAAGUUGUGAUUUUAUGAUUAAGUAUCUGAAUGCCCUGUAGAACAUUGCUUAAUAUGUCUGAUCUUCAGUUUUUUCAUCUUUAUUAAGGGGGUAGAACCAGGUAGUCUCAGGGAUAUCUGAAGUCCAUUUGAGUACCUCCAAAUCCAUGGACACACCUCUUGCAGUUACCAGUGUUUCUAUGGAAGGAUACAGAGGUAUCCUUCAUGAGUUCACAAUAAGAGAGGAAAGAGAGGGAGGGAGAGAGAUCUGAUAUGUAGAGAUCAUUCAGUGAGAGAGAGCAGGAAAGAGAGGAGUUGAUUCUAAUCCAUGACAUGAUAUCUGUGGGGACUUUUAAGAGGAGGUGAAAACAGCAUGAUUUGAACAUAGGGGAAGAUGAUUUCAGAGUAGAGGCUUGACCUUGAAUCUUGAAUCUUUCAGGAAACAAGUUUUAGAGAUAGGCUUCUUGGGUUUAGUUACAAGCUCUACCAUUUAGAAGCUGCUAUAUCUUGGGAAUGCUACUUAAUGUCUCUUGAGCCUCAGUUUCAUCAUAUGUACCAUGGAUACAAAAUAGUAAUUUGUUUCAAUUAAAUGAGUUAACAUAUAUAAAAGUCAUAGAACACUGUGUGGAGGCUAGUCAUGUAUCUGGAUAGAGAAAUGCUAGGAAACUAGGUAAACUUUCCUAUAGAUAGAGUUUCUGUAGGUAUUAUUGAAGAUGGAAGCUAGACCUUCAAAGAGUCAGUUGUAGCUGGAACAUAUGCUGUGGAUAUGUCAUGUGGGUAGAAAGCAAUCAAGAGUCAGACUUUGGUGGUCUUUGCAUCUUUAAUCAAGGGGUUUUUAGGUUUAUGUUGGAGAAGUUGAACAAGUAAUGGUUUUCUCCAAAGCCCAUAAGAGUGCCUAGUUUAUAGUAGAUACUAAAUAUAUAUUCACUAAAUAUAUAUUUCUUGCAUGAAUGAUAUUUGGAACAGUAGAAUGAAGUAGUGUUCAUAUUUGUUUACUAAACAAAUGACUCUGGUAAUUAUAAAAUCUUGCUGAUGAAUUAGGGAAAGAGAGACCACUGAUACAUCAGUGUUAUAGUUCCUACCUUUAAUGUCCCCUGAAAAUCUCAUGUGUUAGGCAAUGUAAUAAUGUUCAGAGGUGAAAAGGUCAUAUUAAGAGAGCUGUAACUUCAUCAGCAAAUUAAUCCAUAAUGAAUUAAUAAUUUGAAUGCACUACUGGGUGAUAACUGUGAGCAGGUGGGCAUGGCUCCAGGAAUGAGGUCAUGGGGGUCGUGCCUUUGGGAACUGUGUCUUCUCCGUGGCUCCUUGCUCUUUAGCUCUCCGUCUGGUUCCUGGAUGCCAUGAGCUCAUCAACUCACCUCACCAUGUCCUUUCACCAUAAUAUUCUGCCUUACCUCAGGCCUAGAGCAAUGGAGUUGGCUGACCAUGGCCUGAAUCUCUGAAACCAUGUGCCCAAAAUAAACUUUUCCUUCUUUAAGUUGUUCUUGUCAGAUAUUUUGGUUGCAGCAACAAUGGAAAAGAAAAAAAGAAAAAAAAAACUGACCAACAGUCUGUCAUUUGGGAGGCUCUCCCAGGAGUCUAGAUGAGGCAUGAUCUGGGUUUACCCCAGGAAUAGUGACGAUGUGAACAAAGAGUGAACAUGGUGGAAUGGCCUUCAAGAGAUCAAAAGUGCAGAAUUGGGUAGGCAUGGAUAGAUGUGAUGGCUGACAUCCAGCCUCAGUAAUGUUAGGGAGGAUGUGCACCAUAGAGUAAUAGAAACUGGUGUGAGGGAGAAGAAAAAAGAAGAUGAAGAUAAGUAGAAGAGAAGAAGUAUAGUCAAAACCACCCAUUUUUGCUCUAAGAUUUAUUUCCAAGGGCCAGUCUCUCCCCUGUCCUUGAGAACUAUUCCAGAAAUCUCCUCCAGGACUUCUCCUCCAGGGUUUCCAUAUUGUUAAGCCAUACUGCCUCUGCUCUUCACAAUGGGGGAGAGACGAAAGAUCUCUGAAAGACUGAGAAAGCCAAAGAUCAUGUGAAAAAGAAGGUAUUUACUGCACAUAAUCACAAGUGGACUUGAGAUUCCUUAAAGGAGUCUUUUGGCAUUAAGUCACAGGGAAUAUUUUAAGAAAAAGUCAUUAUACCUUGUGUUUCACUCUGGAACAGGAUGUUUCUCAAAUUUCCUUACUUUGCAAAGUCAGAUGGCUUUAUAUGCAAAUAUUUUCAAAUGAACCAGAGUCAGGCUGGGUUUCUUCCAAACUAUUGUUUACUUUAGUCAUCCAUGAGUAGUUUUUUGGUUCCUCAGCCUGGAUUGGAUGUUCUUCCAAGGCAUGUAACUGCUUUUCCCUGUACAUUUCCCCAACAUGAUACUUAGGCCAGCAUUCCUGGCAUCAUUCACUGAUAUCUCAUCCAAAUUUGAUUUCCUCCUACCACCUUUAAUUAGGAUCCAAGAACUAGAAUCCAGGGACUAUGAGCAUGAGAACUCAGUAAUGGAUCCAAAAGUUAAUGUUUUCCUGAUCCUUUCGCUGAUCUCUGUUUAUGAUAAUCAACAAAACCAUUGUACAAAAGAUGCCAAUAUGCAUUUUUUCCUUAAUUGCAAACAUACAGAGACUCAGGAAUUUGUUGUAAUGCAAUUCAAGAUCCUAUGAAGUCCCUUUAUUCCCUUGUUUCUACCACCAGUCUGAUUUAAUUGGUGUGUAUGUUAAGUUUUAGCUAGUGGAGUGUGAUGGGAAUAGUCAUGUAUCAUGAUGGUCUUUUCUAUUUUUAGCCUAUAUACAAUAAGGUUUUUAGCAUAUAUAUAAUAAGCUUUUGAUUCUCUGAAUGACUGUAAGAAAAUAAGUAAAGACAAAAUAAGGAGCUUUUAAGCUCAAAAUAUUCCUGAUAACUGGCCUCUUGAUAGCAAGCUGUUCAUAUUCUCCAAUAAAUUUUGAAUUAUGAUUUCUUCACUUACAUAGCCCACACUGACACAUAGUCAGCUGGGUGUAUUUUCUUAUGUAGGUAACAUGAAAUGAACUGAGCCUUCUGACAUCAGCAUCAUGGUAUUCUGAUUCUGUUCCUGAUCAAACCACUAAGGUGUGCAUGACCUGGGGAAACUCCCUGGACAUCUUUUCCAACUCUUUUCUCAUCUGCCCCAUUAUGAAAACAUGAGUCCUUCAACCUCACCUGCCCAUUCUUUUGCAUUUUCCUGUCUUCACCAUUCCUCAAAGAACUAUUUUCAAACUUCUGUAUCAUCUACAGCUUCUAGCCUGAAACCACAACACACUAUUGGGGUGGGCUCAAAUUGAUGCAAUCUCAAGGAAUAAUACAUAUCUAGAAGUUCUGCUGAGGCUUGCUUUGCUCUUCAUUAGUGUUCAAGCUUCAAUGACUCACAAUUAUUCCUGGAUGACCAUCAUCCUCUUCUCCUGCACUUACCCUUAUGUCAUGCUCCCAGGCCCUUGAGUAUUGUGUGUUCUAAGGUUAUGUGGAAUAUGAAUGAUAAAAAGAUGCCAUGUCUGCUGGCAGAGAAAUCCCAGACCAUGUGCUGUGAGAAAAGUUGGGGAAGAUAGUCUCAUACUAUAGACAGCAUGCAGACAAAAACUGAGGUCAUGGGCAUGGGAUGGUUCUGCUCUGAGUAAAUUUGCCAAUGAUUGGAAGAAAUUAAAGAGUAUGUAGAGAUAUGUUGUGAUCUAUAGACAUCACAUAUUUAUUAGUCUGUUUAUUCAUUCAUUCAUUCAUUCUGUAAGAGCCUAACAAUUCCAUCUAGGACUAGGUUAGACAUUCAAAAUGUUGGCUAGAUUCCUUGCCUUCGGGGAACUUAUACUCCAGUGAGAACUAUAGGAAAUUGGAAAAUACAACACAGUACAGUAUAGGUUUUGAAAAAAGUAAAAUGUUUAUACUGGGCUUACUGGAAACUCAUAAGAGAGCAUCUGACCAGAACUUUAUUUCUACGUAGGCUUCUGGAAGGUGACUUCUAAUCUGAAACCUAAAGCAUGAAUGAUCAUUGCACGGUCAAAGAGAAGUGAGAGGUAAUUUUCUUGGCAGUGUGGCUUGACAUAUGCAAAGGUCAGAGAAACAUGGAAAUUCUUCAAAGUUAAAGAAAAUAUAUAGAUUUUCUAACACUUUUCAAGAGUGAGGAAAAUGGUAUAUAGAACUAGGAAUUAUUUUCUAAAGGUUUGAAGCAGAGAAGUGGGGAACCAAGUUAGUAGGGAAGUUAAUUGAUAUAGUUGUUAUUAAUAGUGCAAAAUGUAUAAGAUUUGAACUUGGAUCUGAAUUUAUUCAGAAUCUGGUUAAUUAAGAGCCAAAAGCUAGAUGUCAGAAAUGUUAGAAUGUCUGGUAUAUGUGUAGGCACUAGUAAUAAUGUUGUUUUCUGAAAAUAUUUUGAAUAUUUAUCCAAGAGAAGUUUAGUAUGUUCUGUAGUACAUAAAGUUUCUUAAUUGAAAAAAAUCACAUUUGUGGUAUAGUGUUGAGUGAUUUAACUUCCCAUAAGGAAAAUUCAUUGAAAAACAAGGGAAAGAUCAGAUGAGUAGGGGAGAAAUUGGUGACCUGGAAGCUCAUUCACAAUGAAUCUGUACUAAUGGGUGGAAGAAAAGGUCUUGAGUGGAAAGAAUGUGUAUUCCCCUAGUAUCCUUACAUUUGAGGCCAAGGUUCCAGGGGAACGGUUUAGUAGAAAUGUUUUCUUCUCCUUCAAAUCCCCAGUCUCUGGUAUAAUGAAGAAUCCAUGCACAGACUAGAAAGACUGCUACACUGAAAGCCUAGUGUCCUGGAUCCUGGUUCUCUUGCUACUAUUAAACAAUUGUAUGUUCAUGAAACAUUCCUUAACAUCUCUGAUUUCCUGUUUUCUCUCUCCAAAAUAAAUAAGGUAGAUGUGCCUUGAGUCUCCAGUUUGAACACUGCAAUAUUUGACUGUAUCUAUAGGGUGCCAAGUUGAAAAAAUGACGCAGCCCUGCCCUUUGUUGUCUCAAACAUCCACCUACAUAUAGCCAACUGUCACAUAAUAAUACUAAUGACAAGAGCCCUGUGAGAGUAUAGCUUUCAAUGAUAAAGAGAAGUGAUGAAAGAUUUUCCUUAUGUUGGUGAGGCCACAUAAUUAUGGCUUGAAUGACAUAAUUAUGGAGGACAAAUAGACCAGAUUAAUGGAGCCAAUCUGAGAAAAUGCAAGUCUAAUAUUAGAGACACAGUAGUACAAUGGAUAGGAAAUGUUUUCCUUUGUAAAUUUUUUUAUUAAGUGCAUUAAUUAUGCAUAUCAAUGGGGUUCUGUGUGAUAUUUCAAUACCUGUGUAUAGCACACACUGAUCAAAUCCAGCCUCCCUUAAUCCACUCUCCCUCUCUGCCUUCCUAAUCUCUAUAAUCACCACUCUAUGUUCAGGUCAAUUUAAGAUUCUGCUUUUGAAAAGUAGAAAGAAGCUAGAACUUGAUGCUCCUUAAAUUAUCAACCUAGCAGAUUCCAGGCUUAUCUCGUAGAUAAUUCAGAGUAAGCAAAUAUGUUUAGCCUGGGAAUGAAAGAUGAGUCAGAUACAUGCUUCAGAAAAAUGAAGCUUGAUAUUUAGCCUUAAAGAUAGAAGGAAAUCUUGCCAUCUGUGACAGUGUGAAUGAACCUGGAGAACAUUAUGCUAAAUUAAAUAAGCCAGGCAAAGAAAGACAAAUACUAUGCAUUCUUAUUUAUUUGUGAAAUCGAAAGUAAUCAAACUCAUAGAAGCCAAGAAGGAAAUGAAAGGUGGUGGGGAUGGGAAGAUGUUUGUCACCAUACCCAGCAAGAGUACCGCUUUCCUUUCCCUAACCCAGGAAAUGGACAAACUAUGUUAACAGACAAAGUUGCAUUUAGACAAGAGGAACAAGUAAGUAUACAAGGUGAAAAAUAAACAAUAAUAUGAGUAAAGUUCCUCACUUAAUGAAUGGUUGUUAUUAUAGUGUAAAAAAUACACCUUAUAAAAACACUGACUCAAAUGUCUUUCAGCUUUGCCAAGACUUGAUGUCUUUACAAGAUAUGUUUUAAAUUAAAAUAGCAAGAGCUUAUGUUUUGUAACUCCUCUCCCCAGGUAAUGUUACUCAUUUAAAUGUUUCUUCUAAAGACUAAAUGUUUUCCCUGUUUACAAAGAAAAAUAAAAACUAAGCCUUGAAAUGAUAUAAAAGUAAAUUCCACUUUAUGGUAUACGUGAGAAUCUCAUCUGAGAAAAGGAUUUCAGCAUGAACUGGAGAACUCAUGUGAAGUUUGGGAAGAAGUUUUUCCAGAAACAGGCCUUUCUGAAAAGAAUCAUAAGCCAAAUGCUAGAAUGAGUGAGGGACAUGUAGGGAACUGACAAGUACAAAUAAUGCUAUUCUGUCUCAUGAAAAAAGUCAAAUGUUCAUCAGAGAUUCGAGCGUAUUCUGUAGUCAAUAGAUAUUGACUAAAAGCUUCUGAGUCGUGAAUGGUAUGGAUCUGUUUCUGUAAAUAUCACUGGGUAGCAGUAUAAAGGAUUGAAUGAAGGUUGGGAUCAUUCAUCAGGAGAUGCCAAUAGACCAGAAAGUCUGAAUCAUUGAAAGGAUGCCUGGAAUUAGGACUCUGAUUUUUGAGAAAGUAAACUUAGAGUUUGUCCAUUUCCUGGGUUAGAGAAAGGGAUAUAUCACCAUAUCCCUUGCUGGAUAUGAUGGUAUAUAUAUGAAUAGGCAGUCUCUACCCUGCUGCUUCAGCUUAUAGUGCUAGGGACCUCUUGUUACUGGAUGCUGUCUUCUGUGAGCCGUCACCACCUAAUCCCAGAAAAGUCUCUGUCCCCAAGUCUUCCAUUUGUUCUUCACCCUUCCCUUAAAGGUUUUUCUGAAGAUUUCCUCUUAACCUGAGCUUCCACAUCCUGAUUGAUAUGCACUCAGAGACCCAAUCUGACCCUUCUUAUUAAAGUCAAUUACCCUAAUGUGUCCUUCCCACACUCUGUAAAACUCAAUAUCACCCAUCCCUGUUAUUUUUUUUUCAUGCUUUUAGCAAUGUUUGAAAUAAUCUUAUUUUUAUACUCAGGUAUUCCACUAGAGGGUAUUAUGCCACUUAACACAAAUUACCAUGAAGUGAAUGUUGUAGGAGGUACAUCAUAUCUUUACUGAACUCUGUAGACUUGUUGAAGACCCUCUUUAGAGAUGGAAGUGACAGCAUGAAGAAAAGUGUGAUCCUCACAGGUACAGGGUAUGAUGGAGAUAUAGAUCCAUAGGUAGCCAGGCAUAUGCUGAGCACAGAGAAGAUUACAGAAUGUACUAGGAGAUGUGCUCUAUAGUUCACUCAAGGACAUACAGAAUGUCCAUUUAGGCAAGUAUCCCUCCAUUUAUUACCUCUAACUUAUGCAUAACUUAUGCAUCAGCAGAAGGGUGAUGAAUUCAUUGGCUAAAGGUUAUACCUGGAUAGAUUGGAGAGUGGACUAGAACAAGGCAAAAGCCUAGAUGAGACAAUAUUGGUUUUGUUGGAUGGUGUUAACUAAGGUGUUAUCUCUGGGAUCUGUCUGCUGGUUGCUUGUAAUGUUCUCCAGGAAGAGGUAAGACAUAUUUUGAGUAUAAUCUGGGGCAUUAACCAGGGGAGGCUCACAGGAAGAGGAAAAGAUGUGGAACAAUGAGGGGGAAAAUACCCAACUUCUAUGGCUGUAAAGUUCAGGCAGGUAUGUCUAGGUGGUCAUUAUUAAAGGAAGAAGGUGACAGUUUUAAACAUCAAAAUGGAGUCUCCAGUGAGAACACAGGGUUUAGUAAACUGAUUUGCAACCUGGGAGGUAUGCUCAGAUUUCAGCACAAGUUAGAAUAACAAAAAUGUAGGUGAGUGAAUGUAAUUUCAAGUUGGAGCUGAUAGCCUGAGAUUUGUAGGACUUUAUUUGGGAAAAGUUACCCAUGUGAUGAGUGUUCAUAGGGUUAAAGUAUAUAUAAAAGACUUCGGCUGCUGGGAAGAUGGAGUAGGCAUACUUUUCCCUAUUCCUCCUGCUGAGUACAACAAAAGCAACUACCCUAGAUGUAAUGUAUAAAAUAAGCAAAAGCAGAGAAUAAGGCACCUCUACCCUUACUUCUCCCCUCUAGAGUGAAGUCAUAGGAUUACUGGAGGAUAAGAACUUCAAUUAUAGCCCAGUGAUAAGGAGCCACCCCCAGUGUUAUCAUAUGCUAUGAUUGGAGGUAGUAACAAGGUACAAUUAUGCCCUCCUGCCUAGAAGAUUUCAGAGGAGGCCAAGUGAGGAGAUAUAACUCCCAUUCCCUCCCCACAGAAGUCAACAGAGUCCAAAUGGGAACCUGGAUUUCUACUCAUACCUGCAAGGAACAAGAGUUGCCAUUCUCCUUUUUCCUGCAGAAGUGGUAUCAGAGGAACCAAGCUAAAAUAGAAGGUGCGGAUACUAGCCAAAGCCUCAUAACAUAAUAUCCAAACUGUACAAGUUUUGAUUGAUUAUAACUCAUUAUAUCAAGAACCAGGAAGAUCUCAAACUGAAAGGAAAAAAAAAAGACAAUAGAUAGAUCCCAUCACUGAAAUGAGAGAUAUUUAAAUUACCUGACAAAGAUUUUAAAGCAGACAUGAUAAAAAUGUUUCAAUAAGCAAUUAUAAACAUUCUUCAGGCACGGAAAAUAGAAAGUAUCAGCAAUGACAUCAAAGAUAUAAAAAAAACAAAAUGCAAAUUUUAGAAUUGAAAAAUAUAGUAGCCAGAAUUAAAAAGAUGGACUCAACAGCAGACCCGAAGGGACAAAGGAAAGAAUGAGUGAACUGGAAAACUUAACAAUAGAAAUUAAUAAAUUUGAAAAAGCAGAAAAUAAAUUUUAAAAAUUAACCUCCAGGACUACGGCAAAAUAUCUAAUAUUCAUUUCAUCAAAGGCUCAGGAGAAGAGACAAGAAGUGUGGCUGAAAAAGUAUUCUAAGAAGAGUAGGAAACUUUCCAAAUUUAUCAAGGAACAUAUAGGUUCAAAAGGUUGAACCCUAAACAGGAUAAAACAAAACAGUUCACACCAAAACACAUCACAGGGGGCUGAGGAUGUGGCUCAAGCGGUAGCGUGCUCGCCUGGCAUGCAUACGGCCUGGGUUUGAUCCUCAGCACCACAUACAAACAAAGAUGUUGUGUCCCCCGAAAACUAAAAAAUAAAUAUUAAAAAUUCUCUCUCUCUCUCUCUCUCUCUCUCCCUCUCUCUCUCUCCCUCCCUCCCUCCCUCCCUCCUCUAUCUUUAAAAAAAGUAUCAAAACACAUCACAGUCAAACUUCUGAAAAUGAAAGAUAAAAAAUUGUUGAAAGCAAUGACAUCAAUAGCACAGUCCACAAGGGAAAUAACUGAUGUUAGACUUCAUCAGAAUUAAAAAAAUUUAAAUCAGCAUACUAUAGUGAUAAGGCCACACAAAUGUUUAUAACAGCUCAAUUCACAAUAGCUAAUAUAUGGAGCCAACCUAGGUGCCCUUCAACAGAUGAAUGCAUAAAGAAAAUGUGUUAUAUAUACACAAUGGAAUAUUACUCAGUCAUAAAGAAGAAUGAUUUUUGUACAUUCACUGGUAAAUGGAUGAAUCUAGAGACUAAAGUAUCAUGCUAAGUGAAAUAAGGCAACCCCCAAAACCAAAGAUAUGGAUGCUAACCCACAACAAGGGUGAGGGGAAUAGAAGUUCUGUGGAUUAGACAAAGGAGAAUGAAGGAAAGGCAGCAUGGAUAGGAAUAGAAAAUAUAGUGGAAUGAAUCAGACAUAACUUUCCUAUGUUCAUAUAUGAAUACACCACCAGUGAAACUCCACCUGAUAUACAACCACAAGAAUGGGAUCCUAAUUAGAAUAAGUUAUACUCCAUGUAUGUAUGUCAAAAUAUACUAUACUGUCAAAUAUAACUAAAAGAAACAAAAAUUUGGAAAAAAAAAUAAAAAUUUGUGUUUAACAAAAGACCCUAUAGAAAGAACAAAAGGUACAUAUCUCACAAAGGAAUAAUAUCUAGACUAUAUGAUAAAUUUUCAAUGGGCUAGGGGUGUGGUUCAGUGACAGAGCACAUGCCUAGAAUGCAUGAGGCCUUAAGUUCCAUCCCCAACCCUGCAAUAAACAAACUCUCAAGACUCAAUAGUUUAAAAUACUGAUGAAAAAUGGGUAAAAAACACAAAGAGAUACUUUAUAGAAGAGGGUAUACAAUGGCAAAUAAACGUGAAAAGAUUUAGCAUCAUUAGUCAUUUGGUAAAUGCAAAUUGAAGCCAUAAUGGAAUAUCACUAUGCAUGUAUCAGAAGAGCUAAAAUUUUAAAAAAAUAUGACAACACCAAAUGCUAGCAAGGAUGGGAAGACUCUGUAACACUCAUAUAUUGUUAAUGGGAAUAUAAAAUGAUUUAUACAACAUGCAAAACAGUUUGUAAAAUUCUUAAAGUACUAAAUAUGAAACUUCUGUAUGACCCAGUAAGUAUAAUCUUGGGGAUUUGUCCCAGAGAAAAGAAAACUUAUGUUCCCACAAAAACCUGGGCAUGAAUGUUUGUCCCAGCUUUAUUUGUUGUAACCCCAAAUUGAAAACAAUCCAUAUCACCUUCAAAAGUUGUAUGGUUAAACUGUGGUACAUCCACACCACAAUAUAAAAAGGAAUGAAUGGUUGAUACAUCACCUAAAUGAAUAUCAGACAAUUAUGCUGAAUGAAAUGAUCCAAAUCUCAAAGUUACUCAGUAUAUUAUUCUAUUUAUAUAACAUUCCUAAAGUGACAAAAUUAUGGAAAUGGAGAAGAGAUUAGUUGUUGCCAGGAAUUAAGGAGGGAAUGGAAGCAGGAGAGAAUUGGGUGUUACUAUAAAAGAACAAUAGGAAAUAUACCUAUAGUGAUGGAAAUAUUCUGCACUUCACUGUAUCAGUGUCAACAUCCUGGUUGUGAUAUCAUACCAUAGUUGUUUUGCAAGCUGUUACCAUGGUACAAAACUGGGUAAAGGGUAUAUAGAACAUCUCUGUAUUGCAUCUUACAACUGUGUGUUACAAUAAUUAAUUAAACUGCAAAUUUUAAUUUAAAACGUGUAACAGUCCCUGCUAACUACUUCUUUUUUCCAAAUACCACUUUGCCAAUGUCCUGCAACACAUUUCUAGUUAGGAGCUAAUGGAUUGAUGAGUCUUCUUUAUAAUGUUGAAGAUGGAAUAUAUAUAUAUAUAUAUAUAUAUAUAUAUAUAUAUAUAUAUAUAUAUGUUGUAGAUGUACAUAAUAGCUUUAAUUUAUUUAUUUAUUUUUAUGUGAUGCUGAGGAUCAAACCCAGUGCCCCACAGGCACGAGGCAAGCACUCUGUCACUGAGCCACAAUCCUAAUCCCAAGAAGAUGGACUUUUGAGAAACCUAGAAAGUAGAAUGGGAAAGCUAGUUAGGAGACUUCUUUAUUUUCUGUGAGUGGCCUGGUAGAGGUAGAAUAUUCACAGGUGGAAUGCACAUAUGUGGGCAUGCAUGCAUGUGUUCAAUGUGUGUGUGUGUGUGUGUGUGUGUGUGUGUAAGAGAGAGCAUCUUCAAUAACUAGGAGGGAAUAACCCAGGAUGAAGAAGAGAGGGAGGAAAACCCUCUGCCAAGAUUUACAAUACUUAUUAGAAAUCUUUCCAUUCUCUCUUUAAGCCCAAUCUCAGAUGUUUCCUGCGUAAGUCUGCUUGUAUUAUUUUUUAGGCAACACUGCCACUAGUGUCAAAAUUGUUAUACUGCACCUUGAAUUACAUGUUGUUGGCCUGGAGACAGCAACAAGAUACUGCCCAGGUGCAGACUGACUGGGACUGGAACAGAUCACCUCAGGCCUAGCUACAUCUUCUUUUGAAUUGCGACAAAUGCAAAGAAUGAGGUUUCUGGACCUCAUCAUGGCUGCUGUGGUGUUCAGGAAACAGCUGACUCUACUCAAAAUUGUUGCAGAGACCCUUUUAAAUAAUGAGGUAGAGCUGCAGAACUAUGUUCAGUUCUGGGUUUUGAAGGAUUUUUUAAUUUUAUUUUUUAGUUGAAGUUGGACACAAUACCUUUGUUUUAUUUAUUUAUUUUUAUGUGGUACUGAAGCUCAAACCCAGAGCCUUGCCUGCGCUAGGCAAGCGUUCUACCUCUGAGCCACAACCCCAGCCCCAGUUUUGAAAGAUUUUGAGGGGUCUUCAUGUUGGAUAUUUUGGGGGCUCUCCCCAUGCUCCCAAAUCAUGAGGGCACCAGAAGUGGAGAUGGGAAUGGUAGUAAUAUAGCCCGGUAGUACAAUUAAAGUCCCCACCAUUGGGGGUGCUGAUCAGGCUGUGGUUUGUAAGCAGUCCUGGUUGUAUGUCAGAAUCCGUGAGAAGAGUGCAUUAUGAGAUGUUGGAUAUCAGAUGUAUAGACAUAAGCAGUUUCUGUUGUGAAGCUAUCUGGUAUAGUAACUACCCUCUAAUUUGUUGUCAUGGAUGCUAUAAGGAAUGGACGAAGAAGGUAAAUUUUCAUACUGAACUCUUCCAUGUACAAGGUCUUCUCAGGUGCAGAACUGUCAUUUUUUUUCUGGAACAAUGCCCUCAAUGCAAGACAAAGUGGAAUGGAGUAUGUAUCCCCCAUGUGUGUUAGAAAUGUAGCACUCCCCCCCCCCCCCCCCCCCCCCCCCCGCCCCGACCACCACCAAGUUUGGGAAGGGGCAGGAGCCAGGGAAAGGUAUCACAUUCAAUCUUAUGUUUGUAAAGGAGUGUCUAACUUGUAUCUCCAGGAAGACUGAAACUUCCUGUCAGGCAGGGAUAUGCUUUCUCCUCUUCCUUUAUUCUUAGCAAUAUCUAGCGCAACCCCUACUCUGUCAUCCAAGUCUUGCCGCUUCCCACGUUCUUAUCUUUGAUCUCUAAAGACAUUAACAGAAGCAAUAACCCAACAUGCAGAGGGGCGGGAGGCAAAUACUCCACACCAGAAAUUGUUUUGAAAUCCUUUUAUUCUCUCUUAGAGUUAAAGCCCAAUUUUAGAUAUUUCCUGAAUAAUUCUGGCCCUUGUGAUUAUUUGUUAGGCAACACUGUCUCUAGCAUCAGAGAUAUUGCACUGUACCUUGAAUUAUGUGUUGGUGGCCUGGAGGCAGCUAGAUACCUGUCAGGUGAGCCCCUGCACAUUGCUGGGAUAAAUAUACAACUUCUAUGUGCCAGUGCCUGGAGAAAAAAAAGGUAAGAAUCUAUACAAAUGCCACAGAAAGCACUAAAGCUCAGAAGAAUCAUCUCUGAAAUCAUAGUAAAAGAGAGGGCAUGUUAAUCGUAGCAAUUGUAGGAGUUUAGUGGGAGUAAGAUAAUUUCCAACCAGAGGAUCCAUCAUGUGACUUUUUAAUUUAUUUUUUCAUAUUUUUAGUGGUGCACCAAAGUUGUACAUAAUGGUAGGAAUCAUUACAUAUAUUUUUAAAUAUUUUUAUUGUUUACGGACCUUUAUUUUAUUUACUUAUUUAUAUGUGGUGCUGAGAGUCAAACCCAAUGCCUUACAGGUGCUAGGUGAGCACUCUACCACUGAGCCACAACCCCAGCCCCUCAUUAUAUAUUCUUACAUGCACACAAAAUAACAAUACAUUUUGAUCAAUAUUCUAUCAUGCGAUUUUGAGAGACAGAGGUAGCAGUCAUUCUGGAUGUAUGGUGUGGAACUGUGUUUUGUGCUGGAAACAGUAGGUAGGAAUCAGACCUGGUAUAUUUAGAAGAGAUUUUUUUUUUUCUGCCUUAUCACCUGGUCAAAGGCUUGUGGGAACACAACAAAAGAUGCCCCAGAUCUGUGGUUUUAAAAUAUCAGUCCAAGAACUAUGUAAUUUAAAAGGUGCACUGGAGGGCAUAAGAGGUGUUGUUUAGGUGGAGUGCUUUUUAGCAUUCUAGGUAACUCAUGAUAAUUGGAAAUAUGAACGAAUAUAUGUGAGACAUUACAGAAUUCUGAUGUACAUGAUUUGUUUAUUGGAUUGUGGGUUGUUGAUCGAGUGGUUUGGUGAUUGAUGCUGAAGGAUGAUGUUGCCAUUAACAGGAAGGGGGAUGGUGGAGGACAAGUGCAGGAGAUGCCAUACUGUAUUUUACAAUAAUCUUUUAUUGAACAUGAAAAAAAUUGAGGUUUAUUCCAUGAACUUCCUACAUUGUUUCCAGCCAUGUACUCAUUUUGUUAGAUGGCAUUGCCACAAUAAUAUUUGAGCUAAGGCAAAAAGAUGGAGGGCAGACCCUUUAUGAAUACUUACUGACAGAGAGAGAGAGAGAGAGAGAGAGAGAGAGAGCGCGAGUGUGCGCCUAGUCAUGGGCAGGCACAAACAGACUCUCAGGAUAAUGAUAGCUAUUUUAGGGCUGGGGAUGUGGCUCAAGCGGUAGCGCGCUCGCCUGGCAUGCAUGCGGUCCAGGUUCGAUCCUCAGCACCACAUACAAACAAAGAUGUUGUGUCUGCCGAAAACUAAAAAAAUAAAUAUUAAAAUUCUCUCUCUCUCUCUCAAAAAAAAAUGAUAGCUAUUUUAUAUCUGGGCCCAUAGUCAAGUGUCCUCUAGCUACUUGUGUGCUGAGAAUAUUGGGAGAAGACUAUUCCCAUUCAUUCUUCUAGGACAAUAUGUAUAAUAGGCCACAAGGUAACAAUUAUAUAAAUUACAACAAAAAAUUUCAUGGAGAUACACCUCAAACUUACCUGUGUAAUUUAACUCAUAUUAGUUUGCCUUACUGGUUCUCUUUAUGCCUUUGAGAAUAGGCCUUUCCAGGGGGCUGGGGUUGUUGCUCACUGGUAGAGCACUUGCCUAGCAUGUGUGAGGCCCUGGGUUCAAUCCUCAGCACUACAUAAAAAUAAAUAAAUAAAAUAAAGAUAUUGUAUUCAUCUACAACUACAAAAAAUGUUUUAAAAAUAAUAGGCCUUUCCAAUUAUCAAGACUAUAAGUAACAAUAAAUAUUGGCAAGGAUGUGAAGAAAUGGGUACACUCAUACAUUGCUGGUGGGACUGCAAAUUGGUGCAACCACUCUGGAAAGCAGUAUAGAUUACUCAGAAAAUGUGGAAUGGAACCACCAUUUGACUCAGUUUCCGCCUCCUUGGCAUAUACAUAAAGGACUUAUUUUAAUAAUAGCAUUCUAUAAUGACACAAUCACAUCAAUAUUAGAGUGAAAGGGACAGUCUGAACUGGGUUUUUGAAUAAUGACUAGGUUCCCUUCAACAGAUGAAUGGAUAAAGAAAAUGUGGUAUAUAUACACAAUGGAAUAUUACUUAGCCAUAAAGAAGAAUGAAAUUAUGGCAUUUGCCAGUAAAUGGGUGGAUCUAGAGACUAUCAUGCUCAGUGAAAUAAGCCAAUCCCAAAAAACCAAAGGCUAAAUGUUCUCUCUGAUAUAUGAAUGCUAACUCACAAUAAGCCAGGGCGUGGGGUGGAGGGAAGAAUAGAAGUUUGCUCAUUAAGACAUAUGGAAAUGAAGGGAAUGGAGGGAGAUAGGAAUAGUAAAGACAGUAGAAUGAAUUUGACAUAACUUUUCCAUAUUCUUAUAUGAAUACACGACCAGUAUAACUCCACAUCAUGUACAAGUACAAAAAUGGGAAGUUAUACUCCAUGUAUGUGUGGUAUGUCAAAAUAUAUUCCACUGUCAUGUAUAACUAAAAAGAACAAAUUUUAAAAAUAAGCCUUUUGCCGAGUGUGAUGGCACAUGUCUGCAAUCCCAGUGGCUUGGGAGGCUGAGGCAGGAGGAUCUUCAGUUCAAAGCCAGCAUCAGCAACUUAGUGAGGCCCCAAGCAACUCAGUGAGAUCCUGUCUCUAAAUAAAAUACAAAAAAGGGCUGGGGAUGUGGCUCAGUGGUUAAGUGACCCUGAGUUCAAUCCCUGGUAACUCACCCCACCAAAAUAGACCUUUCUUUUGUAUUACUUUCUUCCCACUCACAUAUGUACAUGGGUACAAAAAUCUCUGAGUUAGGGCAUACUGCCAACUUACUUAACUUCACAAUUCCUCAUUUUUACCUUUUCCUGUAAGAGAAACAGUUGAAUAAAAUUUUAACUUCUAGGACAAGAUACAUUGAAUCUACUCCUGGUUUCACCAUUAUACAAUAUGGGACCUAAAAAGACUACCUAGAUGUUUUUCUUAGCUCUUAUCAAUUAUGGGAGAACAAAAGGACUUUAAAUGAUCUAAAUUAUCCUAUAUUUUCCUCAGGACUUCUCUCACUAUUUCCCUGAGAAGUUCUUUAUGUUUCCCAUUGUCUAUAAACUUUCUGGCCUGUGACAACAGCCCCAUUCUUUUUGUGGGGGCUAGAACGCCUGUGACCAGGUUUUUAGAGUGUACAUUAGGUAACAGGUUGUUUUUCUUCCUUUCAUUUCCUCCCAAAGCUUAUUCCUUCAUUCUAACCUGUAUGAUCUACAGUUGUUUAUGGGAUUGCUAUUGUCCCUCAUCACCCAUUCAUGUCAGGCUUCCAGGCUUCUCGAUGUAUAUGCUCUGGGCCCUGAAUAAUAAUGGAUGAGAAGGAUAUACUGUGCCUGCAGACUGGAGGAGAAGAGGAACCUAGACAGUGUACUCUGGAGAAAGCUGGGAAAGAUCAUCCCAUAGGUUAUACACAACAUGAGGAGGAAAGUUAGAGCCAAGGCAAGAGCAGAGGUUAUUUUUUAAGAUAUCUAAUAAUUUAGGAUCACUAGUGCCUAGAUUGUGGGAAUAGAUAAUGGUCUACAGAGAAGGGCUCUAUUCAUUAAUAAUUUAGUAUGUUUGUAUCAUUUGUUCAUUCUGCAGUGCUUUUUUAGAUACUGUUGUUUACAAGCAAGAAAGAGUCUCUGAGUUCAAGGAUACUAACUUGUGAGGAGAGAGAAUUUUAAAAAUUCAGCAUAUAGUGACCUACUAAUUCUAAUAAUAUUAAAUAAUAUUUACUAAAUGCUAUAUGUGGUUCCAAGAACUGUUUUAAGUACUUUGUAAAGAUUUGCUCAUUUUAUACUCAUCACAAACCCUAUCAUUUAGUAUUGUUAUUAUCCCUAUUUUGUAGGUUAUAAAAUAGAGGCAUUGAGAAGUUAGGUAACCUACCCAAAUUCACAUACCAUUUUACUGGAUUAGUGUGGUGGGCCACACAAGGUCAGCUUAUUAGAUGGGCUUACAUUUUUAAUGAAGGAAUUCUGGAGAAAAUUAAAUUUGAAAUGUAAUUUAAAGGGUGAGGAGGAAAUACUAGGCUAAUAGGGUGAGAGAUAGUGUUUAAGACUGAGUGAUGGGCAUGUGUACAAAAGCAUGGAAAGAAUUGGAAAAUCUGCACUUUGGGUAUGGUAUUUGGCAGAGGGAUACUAGUGGCCUGGACACUUGAGGAUUUGGGAUUUUAUGUAGAAACUCAAGGCUAUUGUUCAUCAGGAGGUCACAGAAGGUUAGUCUGAUUGAAUCAUAUAAUCAGACUGUGGUCAACCAAGCUGUGGUUAUUUAUUUGAGAGGAGCUUUUUUUUUUUUUAAAUAGAGCUUGUGUAGACCUGGGGUUAUGUGAAUGUGGAGUGCUGGAACAAUUAGUAGAAAGAACUCAGGGAGAAAAACAGGGGAAAAAUAAAUGCAUAUUACAGUAAUAUUUCUUUGCAAGGACCUCCCCCUCCACUAGGGCCCAAUUCCAGAACAUUAUUUGAGUCCAAAAAUUAGGCAACUCCUAAUCCACUGUCUCUGUGGUCAAAUUGUACCCAGAAAUAUUUGUUGAAGUUUCAGGAAGGAGAUGUCUGAUAUGUAUGAUCCAAUUUGUAGACCUCUGGGGGUGAAAUUACUAUACAUAUUUAUAUUUCAGGCCCUUGUGGUGGCUACUGUUUCAGGUAAGAAAUGGUGUGACUGCGACAUUUUUCUCUUCUUGAACAAGUUGGAGACAUCACAUGGAGACCUGUUAUAAGUAGGAUGUAAAUUUAUUUGAACAUGGUUAGAGGUAUGACUGCUGAAAGAACUGCUUGGUGAUGGGAGUCCCCCAGACUCUUUGAACCCUGAAGACUCCUUGUAGGGGACCACAAGUAACAUCUAGAGGUUGUUGGGGAUCAUGGAAACAGAAGUCAACAAGAGGCCAUCAUGGAAGUCUUUCCUCUGAAACCUAACAGACUAUAGAUUCCAUUCCUUGAGUCUGGCUUUCUAAAUACCUGUAAGAUGUUUCCACUUCUCUUUAACUCUCUGCACGUGUAAGAAGUAAAGACAGUUAUGUUCUCUUCUACAGCCUUGUCUUCCUAUCAGUUUAUUUUACUGCUGCGAGAGUGAUCUCUCUGAGAGCCAAAUAAGAUUGUCAACUCCUUGCCUGCCAAUCUCCUUAAUAGGAUGAGAUGGCUCUUCCUAAUCUGCUCAAUUUUCGGUCUCUCACCAUUUUUCCUUCUCCCUCUUUUUAGAUACACUUAACACUUAUACUUCCCCGCAAUGGACUACACUCUGUUGUUACCUCCAGGCCUAUUGUGUUUUUUCUUCCAGGAAAACUCAGACCUCCCUGAACUGCUUGAUACUUUUCCUGAAGAACAGAACAAGACCAGAAGGAGUGAAUGGUGAGUAUGACUGAAUUUGAAAGCAGGUAAAUUUGCUAUAAAGUUGCUGCAAUAGACCCAAACAGUGGGUUUCAGGCCUUAACUAGAACAGUGAUCAUAUGAAUAUUAAAGAAGGGCUCACGGGGCUGCAGUUGUGGCUCAGUGGAAGAGGGCUUGCCUCAUAUGGGUGAGGCACUGGGUUCAAUUCUCAGCACAUAUAAAUAAAUAAAAUAAAGAUCCAACAACUAAAAAUAUUUAAAAGAAAGAAAGACUCACCUCACGGAUACAACAGAGAUAAAAUCUAUAGAAGUCACAUUAUUUGUAUAUACACUCUUCAGUAAUCCCGACUCUUUCCCCUGACUGUAAUUCCAGGUUUACUGUGCCUAGGGACAGGACAUGUAGACUUACUGUAAACCCAUCUCAAUGAAAUUCAGAAAUCCAUCAUCUCUCCCUGUUUGAGUCCAUAGAUGGUGUGCACAGAGAAAUCCACUCAGGCUUUUCUAGUACCAGUCAAUCUGAAUUUCUGAGCUAAUUGUUUCUUAAUAGUAACUACUUAGAGAGACCCUGAUUUUCCAUUUUUUCCCAUUUUAUUGUAACAGAUACAAUGAUGGUUUAUCUUUUAAGGCAGUUGUUCUUAACUUUGCUGUAUGUUGGAAUUCACCCACAGAUCUUCAGAAAAUACUAAUGUCUGUCCUCCACCUCAGACAUUAUGAUUUAAUAGAUAUGUGGUGUGACAUGAGUAUGAGAGCUUUUUACAGCUCUCAGGUUAAAAUAUGCAUAAAAGUUUGAAAACUACUGCUUUAAGGACUUCUGCAUAAUCAGGACUGGUAGUAGAGCUUUGAGUGGAAGUGUAUUCUGGGAGAAGAGCAGAGCUGUCUCUUUGACAGACUAAUGUGUUAUUCAUGGCACAUUCUCUGUGAACGAUCCAGAGCAAGGUUUCCUGAAGGAAUAUUGUGCACCUCAUCACUGUAAGACAUUGGAUGUCAUGAGUAAAUAGAGAUUUAUAUGAAGGGAAAUGCCAGAUGAUCAAAUGUAUAUUUUAAAGUCUUGAAUCAGUAUUGGAGAUGGACUGAAGUAAGAGGUGGAACAAAGAGAAAAGAUGAGAUAAUUCUUUCUAAUCUGAUAAAAGAUUAUUGAAAUAGUCUGACCAAGGGUGAGGAUGUGGGAGUGUGAAUAAGCAAAAAAGGUUGGAUUAUUUGGCAAACCCUGUCUUCAUGUCACUCAUUCAUCUAUCUGCAAAGGUGGCAAAGGUAGAGAAAAGAGAUGUGACAAUCAAGUGAUAAGUUGAACCUUCCCCAGAUCUGCUUAGCACAGGUAGUCAGGAAGGAGGAAAGGCAGAAAGUACUAAAGAGAGAAGAUGUUGAAGUUGUCUUAAUGAGGAGUUACUGAUCUAGUCAUGACCUGUGUGAGUAGCAGCACUUGCUCCCCGAAAUACAGUGAAGAGAUGGUUAGUGAUCCCUGAAUAGGCCUGGCAUAGGAAGAGAAGCAGAAGCUUCUGUUCCCCCAAACCAAGAACUCUACUGCAACUUCUCUUGAUAGAUCUUUCUGUAGCCAGAGUGACCUGUCCAAGUGUAGAAAUAGCCAUGAAUCAUGCUCUUUCUUGAAAUGACUUCCCAUUACCCUUGUGGAGGAUGAAUGAAUUCACCACACAUCAAAUUGGCUGACAAAGCUCUUAGAAAGAUGGCUUCUUUUCUCUAACCUUUUUCUCUGGCUAUGAGACCCCUGAUGAUUUUCUCCAAAGCCAUUGGAGUUUCUUAUUUGCUUCCUGUCACCCUCUGUGCCUACUUUUAUCAUAGAACUUAGAUUAAGUACCUGAAUAACCUGGUGACUCUAAUCUCUAUAAUGCACCUUAAGAGCAAUGACAAUGUCUCAUUAGCUAUUAUAUUCUCAGAUUGUCAGAUGUAAGGUCUGACAAAUUGUACACACAAUAAAUAAAUAAAUGAAUAAAUUGGUGAGUUUAUUAACUUAGGUAUUUUGUUAUAGGAAUGGAAAACAAACUAACAUAAUAGCUGAUGGAUUGGCAGCUCAGUCUCUGAACCCAAACUCCCAGUUCAUCAUUUAAUAGCUGUAUAUCCUUGGUCAAUCUUAUUAAUAUCCCUGUACUUUAGUUUUAUCAUGUGUAAAAUGGAGGAAAUAAUUGCACAUAUCUGUGGGGUUGUUAGGAUGAUUAGAAGAGUUAAUAUUUUUAAAAGUACUUAAAACAGCAUCUGAUAUAUGAUAAAUGCAUAUACAUGUUUGUUUUCAAAAACAGACUAAUAACUUUGGAGUUACAGUACCUUUUUUGUACUAGGUCUUAAACCCAGGGCCUUAUGCAUUUAUCCCUAGCCCUUUUGAUUUUUUUAAAUUUUAUUUAUUCAAUUUGCCCAGGAUAGCUUCAAAUUUGAGAUCCUCUGAUCUUAGGCUCCCAAAUAGCUAGAAUUAUAGACAUGUGCCACCAUGCCCAGCUGGAAUCAUAGCUCUACACUAUGAAAUUUUAAAGUGAUGAUGAUGUAGGUAAAUGGUCAAAGAAGCUAAGUCUUUGUAAAUGGAGAGGAAGGGUAAGGAAGGAAAAGAGAAUAUGCACCUGUACACAGGGCUAGGUGUAAGGCGUGGUGAUGAAAAACAUCUGGAUGAUGUCCUUAAUAUCGACCAUUUCCAGUGAAUGUUAUUUCCAUUCAUCCCUUGUGGAAAAUCACAACCAGGAAAGAGUCCUUCUUAUUACCUCCGUUUUCUUUAUAUCCAUAUGCAGUGCCUAUUGUGUCCCUAAGAGCUAUUUGAAGUUUCCAGAACACUGCAAAAAUCAAUAAGGCCAUGACCCUGCAAUCAGAGUUAGUUAGGUGGUAAAUACACCAGGGUUUUAUGCAGAUAAUUUCAGGAGCUUGUUUGAUGUGGCUUAACCUGAGAGGGAGAUGAUAGAGCAAGAGGAGGUUAAUAUCCUAGUACCUAAUCCAUAUAGGUAAAACUACCCAUAGAUAGGUAUGAAGGAUUUGGACAUGAAGUGGGGCAUACUGGCAGGAAUAAAUAAGAAGAGCCAAGCUUGGUGCAGUGGUACAUGCCUAUGAUCCCAGCAGCUUGAGAGGCUGAGACAGGAGAACUGUGAGUUCAAAGCCAGCCUCAGCAACUUAGUGAAGCCCUAAGCAACUCAGCAAGACUUUGCCUCUAAAUAAAAUAUUAAAAAGGGCUGUGGAUGUGGCUCAGUGGUUAAGAACCCCUGGGUUCAAUUCCUGGUACAAAAAAAAAAAAAAAAAAAGAAGGGCCAGAUUUUUAAAAUAGAAGCCCAGUAGUUGUGUGAGCUUAUGGGAUUUGACAGUUUUGAUGUUUUUAAGGAUAUGUGCAUAAGGGAAUCUUCUGACUGAAUGAGGGGAUGGUUAGAUCAUUAACAGAGAGAGGGACUUGGUACUGAGAGGAAAUUUCCACAAAUCUCUGAGGAUUAUCCAUCCAGGAAGUCUAUUUAGGCUACCUUACCCCUAGUGUCUGCAUAGUAGAAACUACCUCUUCUAGUCUCUGCUGAAGAUCAUGUAAUUGGGGUUUCAUACAAUAUGACUGAAGGUGUUCUAUGGGAGUGGUAUCCUCCCAAAUAGACACUGUCAGGAAAUAGAGCCAGUUGACUACAUGCACAGGUUACUUCUCAGAGGUAAGAACAAGUAUACAGAGGUCUAUGAUCAAUGCCCUGUGGGAGAUGCUUCGUGCAGCAGACAACCAGAAAGUCCUCAGAAGUACAGUCCAUGAAAUGUCAUGUUAAGCAGAUCCAUUUUAUAUAAAGAUCAUAUGAAUGUAUCAAUUUUUCCUUCUUUAUCUGUUUUAGAAUAAGUGAUCAUCAAGACUAGCUUUAAGAAAGACAUUGGCAAAGUUUGCUCAAUAAGAGUUCAUGAGGGACAGCCUCAGUGCCUCUUUUUCUUGUAAAAAUAUUUCAUGAUAUGCCAGAUGCAGUGGGUCAUGCCUGUAUUCCCAAUGGCUCAGGAGGUGAGGUAGGAGGAUUGCAAGUUCAAAGCCAGCCUUAUUAAUUUAGCAAGACUCUAAGCAACUUAGCAAGACCCUGUCUCAAAAUAAAAAUACCAGGCUAGGGAUGUGGCACAGUGGUUAAGUUUCUCUGGGUUCAAUUCCUGGUACCCCCAAAAAAUAUUUCAUGAUAAACCUGAAGUAUUAAAAACAUUUUCAUUAUUAAUUAUAUAUGUCUCACUCUUGAGGACUUUUUAUGACUUUAACACAUGUCUUAUGAGGUAUGGGCUUUCCUAGGGCAGGCUUUUCUGACUGGAGUGAGGGAGGUUGUUCUAGAUUUGAUUAUUGUAUGUCCAUGAGAGUUAGUCUAACACUAUCAUGAUGUUCUGGAUGUUUUUAACUCUUCUGAUUUAUUAAGUCUUUUAUACCCUUAUCACAGUUUUUGUGUUCUGCUCUCCUUCUCCUUCCUUGAGUGUACCUUCUAUUGACUACUUUAAAAACAUUUAGGUAUCUACCUGUGUGUUAGAUGGGAUGGGUCAGGUUUUUAAGUUUUAGUUGAUAUUAUGACUGAGGACCCAGAGCUUUCACAUUCCUACCCUGUUUCUCUACUUCCCCAUGAGGUUGUCAGAUGAGCUAUACUCACAAAAGAAAGUAGGAUAAUUUUAUUUAUUCCAUUAUUGGAUGACUUAGUAUCUGCUAACACCAGGACAGUACUUAACUGUCAGUCUCUCACCAAGGUUCCAGACCUAAGUGGUUGUUCUUCUGUUUCCCCUAAAGAUGAGAGUAAAAACCCACUGCUGUGUGAUUUGGAUACAAAAGUGUAUAAAGGGUUUUCAACUUUUGUCCUUCAAGUCAUCUGUUAUAGUUUGGAUCUGGAAUGUUCCCCAAAGAUCCAUGUACUUAAAGGUUUGGCGCCCAGUGCAGUAAUGUCCAGAGGUGAGGGUUUGGGGCUCUAACCUUAUCUGUAAUCCAUUUGAUAGGUUAAUAAUUUUAAUGGUCUACUGAGAGGAGGUGAAAACUGUAGGAAGGUGUGUAUGGUUACAGGAAGUAGAUCACUGGGGGCAUUCUCUUGGGGGGAAUUUAUCUUCUCCAUGGCCCUUUCCCACUGCUCUGCUUUGUAGCUACCAUGAACUAAGCAGGUUUCCUCUGCUUCAUACAUCUACCAUGAUGUUCUGCUUCACUUCAGGCACAGAGCAAUGAAGUAGGACAACCAUGAACUGAAACCUCUGAAACCAUGAACCAAUACAAACCUUUCCUCCUCCAAGUUGUUUGUCAGGCAUUUUUGGUCACAGUGAUGAAAAGCUAACUAACACAUCUUCUUUUACUCUCAUUCUAUGAGUUCCUAAAUCUAACUGUUGGGGCUGACAACAGUGCAUCAUGGCUAGGUCCUGGAUAAAGAAUAAAUUUUUACUAGUUAUCUUUCUUUUGUGUACCUGCAACUCAUGCACAGGGUUUGUGAAUUUGUUCUUCAUCAGUCUUACAACCUUUUCUUUUUCUUCCUACAUUUGGUUAAGAGGCCAAGGAUCCUAGGAACUAGAGAGCAGCAAUGAGAGCCCUUCACUCCUGAGCCUUCUCCUGUUAGAGGUGGGUGCCUCUGAACUCACCAUUAUUCCAAAUCCUUAUUUCUUGUGAAAAAUAGAAUGAUUGCUGCACCAGAAUUCUGGAAUCCGGAGUGAAACAGAGUAAAAUUAAGUAACUAUGUGGCCCAUCUUAUGCAGGGUGAUGUAAGCUCUGUGAGGUGAUGCACCAAUGAAAUGGCCAUUUUUCUGUCCUCCAGGGUCUUUAUAGUAAAGUUAUACCUUUAAAGCAAAGGUAGAUCCAUUCACAUAUUGAUGACUAUAAACAAGAGAUCCCAGUGGUGAGUGUACUAACACAGUCUGGGUUUCCCUUACUAUCCAUACUCUCAUCUUCCAAAUAAAAACUAUAAGAACUUGGGAGAUUUUUAUACUGAAAAUUAACUCUUUAAUUUGAAAAUCCAUUAUACUUAAUGAACCAAUGAAAAUGGUUAAGUUNACAGGGCUAGGUGUAAGGCGUGGUGAUGAAAAACAUCUGGAUGAUGUCCUUAAUAUCGACCAUUUCCAGUGAAUGUUAUUUCCAUUCAUCCCUUGUGGAAAAUCACAACCAGGAAAGAGUCCUUCUUAUUACCUCCGUUUUCUUUAUAUCCAUAUGCAGUGCCUAUUGUGUCCCUAAGAGCUAUUUGAAGUUUCCAGAACACUGCAAAAAUCAAUAAGGCCAUGACCCUGCAAUCAGAGUUAGUUAGGUGGUAAAUACACCAGGGUUUUAUGCAGAUAAUUUCAGGAGCUUGUUUGAUGUGGCUUAACCUGAGAGGGAGAUGAUAGAGCAAGAGGAGGUUAAUAUCCUAGUACCUAAUCCAUAUAGGUAAAACUACCCAUAGAUAGGUAUGAAGGAUUUGGACAUGAAGUGGGGCAUACUGGCAGGAAUAAAUAAGAAGAGCCAAGCUUGGUGCAGUGGUACAUGCCUAUGAUCCCAGCAGCUUGAGAGGCUGAGACAGGAGAACUGUGAGUUCAAAGCCAGCCUCAGCAACUUAGUGAAGCCCUAAGCAACUCAGCAAGACUUUGCCUCUAAAUAAAAUAUUAAAAAGGGCUGUGGAUGUGGCUCAGUGGUUAAGAACCCCUGGGUUCAAUUCCUGGUACAAAAAAAAAAAAAAAAAAAGAAGGGCCAGAUUUUUAAAAUAGAAGCCCAGUAGUUGUGUGAGCUUAUGGGAUUUGACAGUUUUGAUGUUUUUAAGGAUAUGUGCAUAAGGGAAUCUUCUGACUGAAUGAGGGGAUGGUUAGAUCAUUAACAGAGAGAGGGACUUGGUACUGAGAGGAAAUUUCCACAAAUCUCUGAGGAUUAUCCAUCCAGGAAGUCUAUUUAGGCUACCUUACCCCUAGUGUCUGCAUAGUAGAAACUACCUCUUCUAGUCUCUGCUGAAGAUCAUGUAAUUGGGGUUUCAUACAAUAUGACUGAAGGUGUUCUAUGGGAGUGGUAUCCUCCCAAAUAGACACUGUCAGGAAAUAGAGCCAGUUGACUACAUGCACAGGUUACUUCUCAGAGGUAAGAACAAGUAUACAGAGGUCUAUGAUCAAUGCCCUGUGGGAGAUGCUUCGUGCAGCAGACAACCAGAAAGUCCUCAGAAGUACAGUCCAUGAAAUGUCAUGUUAAGCAGAUCCAUUUUAUAUAAAGAUCAUAUGAAUGUAUCAAUUUUUCCUUCUUUAUCUGUUUUAGAAUAAGUGAUCAUCAAGACUAGCUUUAAGAAAGACAUUGGCAAAGUUUGCUCAAUAAGAGUUCAUGAGGGACAGCCUCAGUGCCUCUUUUUCUUGUAAAAAUAUUUCAUGAUAUGCCAGAUGCAGUGGGUCAUGCCUGUAUUCCCAAUGGCUCAGGAGGUGAGGUAGGAGGAUUGCAAGUUCAAAGCCAGCCUUAUUAAUUUAGCAAGACUCUAAGCAACUUAGCAAGACCCUGUCUCAAAAUAAAAAUACCAGGCUAGGGAUGUGGCACAGUGGUUAAGUUUCUCUGGGUUCAAUUCCUGGUACCCCCAAAAAAUAUUUCAUGAUAAACCUGAAGUAUUAAAAACAUUUUCAUUAUUAAUUAUAUAUGUCUCACUCUUGAGGACUUUUUAUGACUUUAACACAUGUCUUAUGAGGUAUGGGCUUUCCUAGGGCAGGCUUUUCUGACUGGAGUGAGGGAGGUUGUUCUAGAUUUGAUUAUUGUAUGUCCAUGAGAGUUAGUCUAACACUAUCAUGAUGUUCUGGAUGUUUUUAACUCUUCUGAUUUAUUAAGUCUUUUAUACCCUUAUCACAGUUUUUGUGUUCUGCUCUCCUUCUCCUUCCUUGAGUGUACCUUCUAUUGACUACUUUAAAAACAUUUAGGUAUCUACCUGUGUGUUAGAUGGGAUGGGUCAGGUUUUUAAGUUUUAGUUGAUAUUAUGACUGAGGACCCAGAGCUUUCACAUUCCUACCCUGUUUCUCUACUUCCCCAUGAGGUUGUCAGAUGAGCUAUACUCACAAAAGAAAGUAGGAUAAUUUUAUUUAUUCCAUUAUUGGAUGACUUAGUAUCUGCUAACACCAGGACAGUACUUAACUGUCAGUCUCUCACCAAGGUUCCAGACCUAAGUGGUUGUUCUUCUGUUUCCCCUAAAGAUGAGAGUAAAAACCCACUGCUGUGUGAUUUGGAUACAAAAGUGUAUAAAGGGUUUUCAACUUUUGUCCUUCAAGUCAUCUGUUAUAGUUUGGAUCUGGAAUGUUCCCCAAAGAUCCAUGUACUUAAAGGUUUGGCGCCCAGUGCAGUAAUGUCCAGAGGUGAGGGUUUGGGGCUCUAACCUUAUCUGUAAUCCAUUUGAUAGGUUAAUAAUUUUAAUGGUCUACUGAGAGGAGGUGAAAACUGUAGGAAGGUGUGUAUGGUUACAGGAAGUAGAUCACUGGGGGCAUUCUCUUGGGGGGAAUUUAUCUUCUCCAUGGCCCUUUCCCACUGCUCUGCUUUGUAGCUACCAUGAACUAAGCAGGUUUCCUCUGCUUCAUACAUCUACCAUGAUGUUCUGCUUCACUUCAGGCACAGAGCAAUGAAGUAGGACAACCAUGAACUGAAACCUCUGAAACCAUGAACCAAUACAAACCUUUCCUCCUCCAAGUUGUUUGUCAGGCAUUUUUGGUCACAGUGAUGAAAAGCUAACUAACACAUCUUCUUUUACUCUCAUUCUAUGAGUUCCUAAAUCUAACUGUUGGGGCUGACAACAGUGCAUCAUGGCUAGGUCCUGGAUAAAGAAUAAAUUUUUACUAGUUAUCUUUCUUUUGUGUACCUGCAACUCAUGCACAGGGUUUGUGAAUUUGUUCUUCAUCAGUCUUACAACCUUUUCUUUUUCUUCCUACAUUUGGUUAAGAGGCCAAGGAUCCUAGGAACUAGAGAGCAGCAAUGAGAGCCCUUCACUCCUGAGCCUUCUCCUGUUAGAGGUGGGUGCCUCUGAACUCACCAUUAUUCCAAAUCCUUAUUUCUUGUGAAAAAUAGAAUGAUUGCUGCACCAGAAUUCUGGAAUCCGGAGUGAAACAGAGUAAAAUUAAGUAACUAUGUGGCCCAUCUUAUGCAGGGUGAUGUAAGCUCUGUGAGGUGAUGCACCAAUGAAAUGGCCAUUUUUCUGUCCUCCAGGGUCUUUAUAGUAAAGGUAUACCUUUAAAGCAAAGGUAGAUCCAUUCACAUAUUGAUGACUAUAAACAAGAGAUCCCAGUGGUGAGUGUACUAACACAGUCUGGGUUUCCCUUACUAUCCAUACUCUCAUCUUCCAAAUAAAAACUAUAAGAACUUGGGAGAUUUUUAUACUGAAAAUUAACUCUUUAAUUUGAAAAUCCAUUAUACUUAAUGAACCAAUGAAAAUGGUUAAGUUGUGGGCAGAUUUGAAAGUGAGAGGCUGUAGAGUUUCUUGCAGUCACUUUCAGUGGGUUUUGCUUUAUGCUCCCGUUGUUUAAACAUUAUUGCUAUUAUCUCUCCACUUCCCUGAGACUUUACCCUUCCAUAGUCCUAGGUUUAAGUCAUGUUGAGCAAGCACAGGGUAUUUGUGGCUAAUAAUGAACAUUUGCCACAUUAAUGCUUUGAAAAUCUCAGACUGGAGCUGAGAGGUUCAGGUAAUUUAAAAGGCUGUGCUAGGAAAUUAGAGAGUGGAGGUAAGGAAGGCUUGCAAAGUCUUCAGAUCUAUGUAUAUAGUAUGUCUUGCCAUGUAUUUAUUCCUAAUAUCUCAGCAAUAUUUUAUAUAUUUUAAUAUACUGGUCUUAUACAAGUUUUUACAAAAAUUAUUCCUGUAUUGCUCAUAUUUUGAUACUAUUAGAAAAGGUAUAUUUUUCAACUUUUUAUUUUGAAAUAAUUAUAUAUUCAAAGGAAGUUGUAGCUAGAGAAUAGAGAGCUACCAUCUACCCAAUUUCUCAAAAUGGUUAUAACUUAUAUAAAUUAAGUAUAAAAUCAAAACCAGAAAAUAAGUAUUAGAACAAUAUGUGUAUAGUCAUUUCAUUUAUGUGUACUCUGUUACUUGUAGACCACUUUAUUUGAGGUAUAAAUGACAUCCAAAAUGCUGUACAUAUUUCAAGUAUACACCUGGGAAACCACCGCUGCAGUCUAUGAUGUUAAGUAUAACUAAUACCUCCAAGGGUUUCCUGUUACCCUGGUUUUUUACUUCUCUGUUUAUUAUUUUUGUGAUAAGAAUACUUAACUAAAUAUGUACCCUCUUAGCAACAUUUUUUUAGAUAGGAUCUUGCUGUGUUGCACACUGGCUUUGAGCUUAUGAUCCUCCUGCUUCAGCUUCCUAAAUAGCUGGGAUUACAGGCAUGUGCCACCACACCUGGCCCUCUUAGCAACAUUUAAGUAUACAGUAUUAUUGUUGAUUAUAACUACCAUACUAUACAGUAGGUCUCUAGACUUACUUGUCUUGCAUAAGUGAAACUUUAUACCCCCUGAACAGCAACCUCCCAAUUUCUGUACCCUUUCCCUUGGUAAUCACUAUACUACUUUCUGCUUCUAGAAGUUUUAUUGCUUUAGAAAUUUCAUAUUAAUUGGAAUCGUGCAAUAUUUAUCCUGUGACUGGCUUAUUUCACUAUCUUGUUGUAUGAUGCAGUCUAUAGUAUUGUUUGGUAUAUCUCUUAUAUAGCUAUAAGCGUUUAUAAUGGUUGCUUUAGGUACUACAUUAUACACACAUAACUUAUCACAGUCCACUGGUGGUGUCCUUUUACUUUUUAUUUUUUAUUUAUUUGCAGGGGUGGGGGUACUGGGGAUUGAACUCAAAGGCACUCAAUCACUGAGCCACAUCCCCAGCCCUAUUUUGUAUUUUAUUUAGAGACAGGGUCUCACUGAGUUGCUUAAUGCCUUGCUUUGUACUGAGGCUGUCUUUGAACUUAUGAUCCUCUUGCCUCAGCCUCCUGAGCCUCUGGGAUUACAGGCAUGCAUCACUGUGCCCGACUUCAUUGUACUUUUUAAAGUGAAAUACAGGAGCUGGAAUACAGGAGCUCAGUGGUAGAGCACUUGCCUAGCAUGUGUGAGGCACUGGAUUCAAUCCUCAGCAUCACAUAAAAAUAAAUAAAGACAUUGUAUCCAUAUACAACAAAAACAUAAUUUUUAAAAAGUGAAAUUUAACCCUUAUCUUCAUUGAUGUCCUUUUACCCCCCACACACAUACACUUAUAUCAUUUAUAUUUUAUACCAUUUAUAUCAUUAUCUUACAUAUUUUCUCUAUAUACAUUUGGAACCACCUCAGACAAUGUUAUGAUUUUUGCUUCAUCCAUCAAAUGUAAUUUAGAAAACUCAAGAGGAAAAAGAGGUAAUUCUCAGACAAAGAUUUUAAAAUAGUUAUAAAACUAUUGUCUUUACCUAUUUGGGGCUCUAUCAAGUUUUCUUUAUUCCUUCCUGAUGUUCCAAGUUUCCUUCUUUUAUUAUUACUUUUCUGUUUGGAGAUUUCUUUAGCCAUUCUUUUAGAGUACAUCUGCUGGUAUAAAUUCUGAGUUCUCCUUCAUCUGAGAAUAUUUUGCCUCCACCUUCAUUCAUAAAGGAUACUUUAGCUGAAUAUAGGAUUCUGGGUUGAUGGUUUUUAUGUUGUGCUACUUCCUUCUGGUCUCCAUUGUUUCUUUUAAUGAGAAAUCCUUGGCAUUCAAAUUGUUUAUCCUCCACUGGUAAAGGUGUUAUUUCUUUCUCAUUGCUUUCAAGAACAAUGAGAAAGAAAUAACACCUUUCCUUUGUCUUUAGUUUUCAGAGUUAGUUUUGAAAGAAAUAAGAUCUUUCCUUUGCUUUAGUUUUCAGAGUUUGAUUUUGAUAUUUCUUGGGUGGAUUUCUUUGUUUUUUCCCUGUUUGGUACUUUCUCGGUUUCUUGAAUCUGUAAGUUUAUUAAUUAUUUCAUUUUUUUCAAGUAUGUUUGCAGUUGGUCAUUGAAGUUUUUAUAACUAUUUUAAAAUCUUUGUCUAGUAAUUCUCACAUUCCUGUCAUUUUGACAUUGUCAUCUGUUGAUUGUCUUUUUUCAUUCAGUUUGAGACAUUCCUGCUUCUUGGUUGAUAAAAGCAAUUUUAGCUGUAAACAUGGACACAGUUGGAAUUAUGAGAUAGUGGAGCUUAUUCAAACAUUUAUUUAUUUGUUUCUUUGUUUGUUGGUACUGGGGAUUGAACUCAGGGGCAUUUGACUACUGGGUCACAUCCCAAGCCCUAUUUUCUAUUCUAUUUAGAGACAAGGUCUCCCUGAGUUGCUUAGUGCCUCACUUUUGCUGAGCGUGGCUUUGAAUUCGUGAUCCCCCUGCCUCAGCCUCCCGGGCUGCUGGGAUUACAGGCAUGCACCACCACACCCGGCCUUUAAACAUUUUUUUAAAGAUGGCUUUUCCUGACACUACUCUGGCAGGUAAAGGUAAUUGCCACUGCAUUAGUGCCAGGUAGGUUUGAAGUCCAGAUUACCCAUGUAGCCUUUGUUGACACCUGAAAGAGCUGCUCCUUGGACUUCUGGAUGGGAGGGUGGGAUUUAUGGCUUCCCACUAUGGCUCCAUUUAUACCUCCCUGGCUGGGAGGAUAAGAAUGCCUUUACUGCUUCUUACAUGGUCUCCACAUGGGAAGAAGGGUUGUCUUGUUACUAUUACCACUAGAAGGUAGUGAAAAUCCCAGCUUUUCACUAGGUCACUUUGGAUACACCUCUGAACCUCAUUUCUGAGAGGUUAAUGUACUACAGGCUCCCUAUGUAGUCUCUACUGAUACUCUUCUGGAGGAUUGAAAGUCCCAGCUUUCUGCUUGGCUUUCUCUGGCAUGAUAUCAGCAAAGAGGAAGACGGUGUGUACCUCAUCACAGACUUGUGAGGAGUGGCUGUUCUUCCUCUCCACAGUCUUUUCUGGCAAGGAUGGGGUAAGACCACAGUUCUUUCUGGUUUUUGUUGGAGUAGAACAAUUAUCUGAAAGUUUUCUCUCUAACAAGGCUGAAUCCCCCACCCCUCGUCUUUUAGCUAUAAAGAACAGGCUGUUAUUUUUUCUAUUGUUUUCAUUGUGUCCUUUGGUGUUUCUGGGUUGCUGGCUUCUCUAUUCCCUCAUUUGGGAUAUGUGAGGCAAAAAGAAAACCCCAGGAACUCACCACAUAUUGUUCCAUGGUCCCAAGUUUCCUAGCUAGUCGGACUUCUUCUCUUCACCUUUCAAGAAUCUUCUUGUUUUAUAUCUCCUGCACAGGUCUUUUAAUUAUAUUUAAUACAAGGAAUCAGAAAAAGUAUAACUACUUUUGACUACUCCUGGAAUUGGAAUUGUUAACAAUUUUUUGUCCACUUUCUCUAGUCUAGCUCUCCGACUUUUAGCCUUUACUCCACAAGAAAUAUCCUUUGGGAGAGAACAUUUAUCUUAUCAGUUUUUCCAUUCUAUUUGUUCAUAGUGGAAAAACAGCAGAUGCAAAGGCUAAAGAAAGAUAGGAAGGGCUGCAGUUGUGUCUCAGUGGUAGAGCACUUGCCUAGCAUGUGCAAGGCACUGGGUUCGAUUCUCAGCACCACAUAUAAAUAAAAUGAAUAAAAUAAAGAUCCAUCAACAUCUAAAAAAAAUUUUUUAAAAGAGAAAGAUGGGAAAAUCUGCCAACCAAAAAUAGUUCAGAUUAGAAAUAUCAGCUGAUAAAUGGUACGGUAUAUAUGGCUUGGGUCCACCUUGUUUUUCUUUUUUUAAAAAAUAGAUAUACUAUAUAUUAUAUUACAUAAUUAAUAUUAAUAUAUUAAUUUAAUAAUUUAAUAAUAUUAAUUAUAUUAUAUAUGUGUAAUAUAAAAUAUAUAUGUAUUAUAUAUAUAUUUUAGUUGUAGUUGGACACAAUACCUCUAUUUCAUUUAUUUAUUUUUAUGUGCUGAGGAUUGAACCCGGCCAUGCACAUGUGAGGCGAAUGCUCUACCACUGAGCCACAAUCCCAGCCCCCUACCUUGUUUUUCUUACUGAAGGCUUUGAGUUAUAUCUGGAUGACUCAAGAUUAUUAUUUGUGCAAAGUGUGGAAGAUAGCAAGUGACUAGAGCCUCAGAGUCUAAGUGGCAGGACAUUAAAUAGCUAAGAGAUGGUGCUAAGUAAUCCUGAUCAGAAAUCGUCUGCUAAUUGAUUUAUGGAAUUUAAGGUGAAGGGAUCCAAUUUAGUGAAUGGGAAAGGUUGGUGCCCUUACUAGAGGGGGAACUCUGGGAUUCCAUCAACUCCUUUGUUGGGGUAGAACUAAAUUCCUUAAAUUUACUUUAUUAUUUCAGUAAUAGUAUAAUAUUUGAGCUUAUUUAUGAGGUGACACUGCCCUUGUCAUUUCAAAUUUUAAUGCUAAGUUAAACCUUGAUGGUCUAUAAUGAAGAGCUCAUUGUGGAAGUUGCAUAUGUAUAAGCUUCCUGCCUGUCAUUGUAAUCUGCUUUGGCAGAGACUCUAAGAACCCUAUUAUGUCUUCAACAUAAUUUCAUCACCAGAAAUCUAGAUGAUGAAUUUUUAUCCUGUAUGAGUAUUUCUAUUCAGUUUUAGAAGGUAGUGAUACUUGCAAAAAACUAACUGGUCAACAUGCAGGCCUUGUUCCAAAGAAGGUUACUCCUGGUUAAUACAGAGUGUGCAUGCACAAGAACCUGGCUGUAAUAGUAUACAAACCUUGAAUUGACAGAGUAAGGCUCACCUCUUUUCAAGACGUACUUCACUGCCUACUUUGAAGUGACAAUGAAUGCUAUUCUAUAAAACAAAAGUAGAAGUUCCAUCUCAUUAUGUAAAUCAUGCACAAAAAUAAAAACUACCUCUAACUGAAGCCUUUGCACCUAAUUGAUCUGAAGAUAUUUCUAUAUUUCUACAAUAAUGUUGCAAUGAGCUCUCUUUUGGGUAUGAGAAGUAAGGACCUUAAUUUCUCAAAAUUUCUUAUGAUAGUUGUGCUUUCAUUUAUUGUAAAGAAUCUGUGCUAAAUAAUGAUAAUUUCCUCAAUUAGUACUGUAGUUUGAAUGUGUCCCCCAAAGGUCAUGUGUUGAAGACCUAAUUCCCAGUAUAAAAGUAUUAAGAAGUGGGACCUUUAAUAGGUGAUUAGGUCAUAAGGGCAUGGCCCUCAUGAAUAGAUUAGUGGCAUUAUCACAGAAGUGGGUUCCUUAUAAAAGGAUAAAUUUGGCUUCUUACUUCUCUCUCACUCUUGUUCUCUUUUGUCUUUUUGUCUUCUGCCAUGGAAUGAUACAAGAAGAAGCCCUUUGUCAGAUACCAGGCUUUGACCUUGAACUUUCCAGCCUCCAGAGCCAAUGAGAAAGAAAUUUCUAUUCACUAUAAAUUAUCUAUUCCAUGGGAUUCUGUUAUAAAAGCACAAAAUGGACUAAGACAGUGAGCAUUCACUGACUUGCACUUCCUUAGUCAGCAUCUGACACCAUUCAUGUAUGUGUGCCCACUAAUGUGUCAUAUACUGAUUUGAGCAGAAUAUAUAGAAAGAUGAUAUCAACUGAGGUCCUGAAACAACCUGUGUGAAUGUUUUAGUAUUUAUUAGAGCAUUCAGAGAUAAGUGAAGCACAUGAACACAUUUGGAUUACAUGGCGAGUACAAUGUGAUGACAGGCCAGGAUAUAGGAAUACACAGAACGAGAUUGGAUGAAAUUGGCAGUAGACUAAAGAGAUAGGAUCAUAUUGUCACUAGGGAAGUAUAAAGCAUUUAUCCUUUCAUUUUUUGUCUCUUCAUUCAACUUUCCCAUCCAUCCAUUCAUUCUUCCAUCCAUCAUAAGUGACUGCCUGCUAUUUGUUAAUUGCUGUGCUAGGCAAUGUAAUCAAGUGUGAAAACAUUAGUCUGAGUCUUUGCCCUAUGACUAAUACUAUAACCUUUAUUGUCACUUUCACCCCAACUCUCUUUUCUCAGUCCAGAUAUUACUUUGUAUAAUUUGCAAUUGGCAUGUAGUGUAGAAUGAUUUCAUGAUCAUAAAGUAGGAGACUUAUUUCUAGUCCAUUUGGUCAUGUAACAUCUCUAAAUACUGAUUUUUUUUCUCACUUUUGAGCCUCACUGAUUUUUUUUAGGAAACCUCUAACAUGGUAGUAAACAACAAAAAUACAUAUGAAGUCUCAUGGGGCUGGGGUUAUGACUCAGUGGUAAAGCACUUGCCUAGCAUGUGUGAGGAACUGGGUUUGAUUCUCAGCACCACAUAUAAAUAAAAAUAAAGUCCAUUAACAAUGAAAAAAUAUUAAAAACAUGUAUAAAGUUUGUUUUGAAUGGACAAGUAGUCCAGCAUAUUCAAGGCCUGAAUAUGACUUUUAUGACUAGAUCUGAGAAUGUGCUAAGGAUGUGUUGUGAUCCAGAAAAGUCAGCUGGAGUCAGACCUAUGGUGCUUGUAAGUAUAGUAUAUUGCAGCUAUUUUUGUAGACAUUGAGGGUUUUUUUUUAAAGAAAAACUAAUAGACUUUAUUAUUUUUAGAGCAACUCUAGAUUUGCAAGAAAACUGAGCAGAAAGUACAAAGCGCUCAUUCCCCUCCUUUAAUUUUCCCUAAUAUUUUCUCCCUUGGGAUAAAAUAUACAUGACAAAAAUUGAACAUUUUAACUGUCUUAAAUGUACAUACAGUUUAAUGGCCUUAAGUACAUUUAAAUCAUUAUGCAACCAUUACCACCAUCCAGAACUAUCCCAUCAUCCCAAACCAAAGCUCUUUACCCAUUAAAUAAUAACACCCCUUUUUCCCUUCCCAUUAGCCUCUGAUAAAUAUGAUUCUACUUUUCUGUUUCUAUGAAUUUGACUAUUUGAGGAUAUUAGUCAGCUCUAAGUGCCAUAAAAAAGUGCCAUAGACUAGGUGGCUUAAACAACGGAAAUUAAUUUUCACUAUUCUAGAGCCUAGAAGUUUGAUAUCAGGGUACAAGCAUGGUCAGUUUCAGGUGGUGGCUCUCUUUUUGCUUGAAGAUAGCCACCCUCUUGCCAUGUGUUCACCUGACGUUUCCUACGUGUGUGCUCAUGGAAGAGAAAGAGAGCAAGCUCUCCUUGAUCUCUUCUUACAAUGGAACUAAUCCUAUUAAAUUAAGAUGCCACCAUUAUGACCUCAUUAAAACUUAAUUGCCUCCUAAAAGCCCUAUCUCCAAAUACAGUCACAUUAAAGGUUAGGGCCUCAAUGUGUAUAUUUUGGGGGAAUAAUUCAGUACUCAGUGUCUCAUAAAAGUGGAAUCAUAUAAUAUUUUUCCUUUAGUGAUGGACUUAUUUUGGUCAAGAUAAUAUCAUCAAGGUUCAUCAAUGUUGUAAGAAGUAUCAUAAUUUCCUUCCUUUUAAGACUGAAUACUUUUCCAUACAUAUAUAGUUUAUUCAUACAUCCAUUGAUGGACAUUUAGAAUGCUUCCAUCUUUUGAUUAUUAUGAAUAGUGUUGUCAUGAACAUGAGAGUACAGAUAUCUGCCUGAAUCACUGCUUUCUUUUCUUUUCUUUUUUUUUUUUUUUUUGCUACCGGGGAUUGAGCUUGAUCAUUGAGCCACAUCCUCUAUUUUGUAUUUUAUUUAGAGAUAGGGUCUCACUGAGUUGCUUAGCACUUCACCAUUGCUGAAGCUGGCUUUGAAUUCAUGAUCCUCCUGCCUCAGCCUCCUGAGCUGCUUUCAAUUCUUUAGGGUCUAUACCAACAGUGGAAUUGCUGAAUCAUAAAGUAAUUCUAUAUGUUUGUUUGUUUGUUUUAGAAACUACUUGCUGUUUUCUUCAGUGACUGUACAAAUUUAAAUUCAAACCAGUAAUAUUCAAGGGUUCCAAUAUAUAUUGAGCAUCAUUUCAUAUGCCUAUUGGCCAUUUGUGUGUCUUAUUUGGAGAAAUGUCUAUUCAAGUCCUUUACCCAUUUUUAAAUUGGGUGGUUUGCAUUUUUGUUCAUUUAUAGAAGUUUUUAAAUAUAUUAUGGAUAUUAGUCUCCUUAUCAUAUGCUGUGGUCUGAAUGUUUUUGCCCCCUCAAAAUCCAUAUGUUGAAAUCUUAACCUACAAAGUGUUGAUAUGAAGAGAUGAGACCUUUGGGAAAUGAUUAAAUUAUUCAUGUGGCCAUUAUGCCCACAUGAAUGGCAUCAGUGCCCUUAUCAAGAGGCCUGAGAGAGCUUGUUUGCCCUUUCUACAUGUGAGAACAUAGCACAAAGGUGACAUCUAUGAUGAAGUGAGCUUUCAUCAGACAUUGAAUCUGCUAGAAACUUGAUCUCAGACUUUUCAGCCUCCAAAACUAUGAGAAAUAAUUUUCUAUUGUUUAUAAGCUACCUUGGUUAUGGUAUUUUUGUUAUAGUAGUCCACACAGACUAAGACAUCAUAUAAAUGAUUUGUAAAUAUAUUCCCUCAGUCUGUGAGAUUAUUUUACACUAUUGAUAGUGUCCUUUGAUGCACAAAAGUUUUUGUUUUAAUAAUGUCCAACUCAUCUUUUUCUUUUUAGUUGCCCAUGCUUUUGGUGUCAAGUCCAAGAAAUCAUCACCAAAUCUAAUGUCACAGAAUUUCCAGUUUUCUUCUAAGAGCUAUGUAACUGUUCAUACAUUUCUGUCUUUGAUCAUUUGGACUUCAUUUUUAUAUGUGGAAUAUGGUAAGGGUCCAAUGUCUGUCUUUUGCAUGUGGAUAUCCCAGCCAUUUGUUGAGUAAUGUCCAUUCACUAUUGCAUAGUCUCGACACCCUUGCUGAAAAUCAUUUGUCUAUAUACACAAGAGUUUAUUUCUGGGAUCUCUACUCUACUCCAUUGGUUUAUAUUAGUCAGAUUUCCAUCUUUGUAACAAAAUACUAAUGUAAUCCACUUAUAAGGAAGAAGACUUAUUUUGGCUCAGGAUUUCAGAGAUUUCAGUCCACGUUCAGCUGGAUCCAUUGCUUUGGGGCCUGUGUCAAGGCAGAACAAUAUGGUGGGAGUGCUUGAUGGGUCAAAGAUGUUCACUUUAUGGUGGCCAGGAAUCAUAAGAAAGACUCAGGAAGGGGCCUGGAUAUCAAUAUCCCCUUCAAGGGCACAACCCCAGUGACCAAACUUCUUCCCAGUAGGCUCCAUGACUUAAAGUUUCCACAGCUUUUCAAUAGCUUCACAGGCUGGCAGCCAAGACUUUGGCAUAAAGGCCUUUGGAAGACAGUUAGGAUCCAAGCCAUAGCAGUGUAUAUAUGGUUAUAUGGCAGUAUCAGACAGUUUUAAUUACUGUACUUUGUCAUGAUAAAUUUUAAAACAGGAAGUGUGAGUCUUCCAGCUUUGUUCUUUUUCAAUAUUGUUUUGACUAUCUGGGGUCCCUUGAGAGUCCCUAUGAGUUUUUCAAGCUUUGCAAAAAAAUCAUUUUUGAGAUUUUGAUAGGGAUUUCAUUAGAUAUGUAGGUAGCUUUGGUAGUGACAUCUUAACAAUAUUAAGUCUUCCAAUUCAUGAACACAGGAUGCUUUCCAUUUGUCUUCUUUAAUUUCUUUCUAUAGUGUUAUAUAUUUUUCAGUAUAUAAAACUUUUAUGUUUUUAAAGUUAUUCCUAAGUAUUUUAUAAGUUUUGGUGCUAUUAUAAAUGGAAUUUUUUCUUUUUCAGAUUGUUCAUUGUAAGGACAUAGAAAUGCAAGUAAUUUUGUGUUCAUUAUAUAUCCUAGAAAUUUUCUGAAUUAGUUUUAAUAAGUCUUUUGUGUGUGUGGAUUCUUUAGGGUUUUCUACAGAUAAGGUCAUAUUAUCUGCACAAAGAAACAAUUUCACUUCUUCAUUUUCAGUUUAGAUCCCCUUUAAGUUUUUUCUUGCCUAAUGGUUAUGGCCUGAACUUCCAAUACUAUGUUGAGUAGAAACGGUGAAAGUUGGCAUCCUUGUCUUGUUCCUGAUCUUGUAGGAAAGUUUUCGGUCUUCACCAUUGAGUAUGAUGUUAACUGUGGGUUUCCCUAUUACUAACAUUUCCUACAAUUAAAUGAACAAUAUUGAUACAUUAUUAUUAACUAAAGUCCAUAGUUUACACUAGGUUUCAAUCUUUGAAUUCUACAUCCCAUGGGUUUUCACAAAUGUAUAACAUGCAUCCAACAUUAUAAUAUCAUGCAGAAUAGGUUCACUUACCUAAAAUCCCUAAUGUCCCACCCAUGCAUCCCUCUCUUCUACCUGAAGCCCCUGACAACCACUGAUUUUUAAAAUGCCUCUAUAGUUUUGCCUUUUCCAGAAUGUUAAAUAGUUGGACUCAUACAGUUUUUUCAGAUGUAUUUCAGUUAUCAAUGUUCAUUUAAGCUUCUUUCAUGUCAUUUUGUGCUUUUUAUGUGUGUGUGGUGCUGGGGAUUGAACCCAGGGCUCAUUUUGUGCUUAAUGUCAAAUUUCCAUUUAUUGCUGUAUAAUAUCCAUUAUACGGAUAUACCAGGGUUUCUCCAUUCACCUACUGAAAGGACAUCUUGGUUGUUUCCACAUUGGCAACUAUGAAUAAAGCUAAUUACAAAAUUUACGUGCAGGUUUUUGUGGGGACAUAUAUUUUUAACUCAAUUGGGUAAAUAUUAAAGAGUGUGAUUACUGGAUCAUUUUAUAAGAAUACGUUUAAGCAAAUCUUUACCCCUCACACAUCAGAUAGAGCACUAAUCACUAGUGUAUAUGAAGAAUUCAAAAAGCUAAACACCAAAAAACAAAUAAUCCAAUCAGUAAAUGGGCCAAGGACCUGAAGGGACACUUCUCAGAAGAUGAUGUACAAUCAAACAACAAAUACAUGAAAAAAUGUUCAUCAUCACUAGCAAUUAGAGAAAUGCAAAUCAAAACCACUGUAAGAUGCCGCAGUCUGGCUGGGCACAAUUCAGGAGCCACUUGUCAAAAGAAACGAACUUUAUU